ACAACAACAAUCAACUAAAAAGUAAGCAAGAAUCAUAGACAAACAAUUUAUAAACCAAAUGAGAUGAAAAUUUCUUUAUUAAAUUAAUAGAAGGUCAGUUGACAGGAAAUAAAGAGAACAAACAAUAAUUAGAUGAAUCAAAACCCUAGAGCAAGAAAAUACAAUAAGAAGGAAGCAUCUGAAACAAGAAAAUGAAAUCAACAGCUCACUGUCUCCCGCGGCCGGCGCGAUGGCUACGGUUGAACGAGCUACAAUGACAACUGCUGUCGAUGAGGUAGCUGAAUCACGAUCAUUGCCGCGAACUAGCUAGGACUCUGAAUCACGACCACGAUCUGCCCUACGAGCUAAUAAAAAAAAUUGAAUCGAUUGGCAGCAGUGGAUGGUGCGUGACUGAUGGGCUGACGAUAGUGAAAUUGACAGAGUGAGACGAUGAGACUGGAGAGGGAGAUGGUGAGACCGUGAGAAAGAGAGAGGGAGACCAACGAUGCAGAGAGUGAAAGUGAGCAUGAAAGAGAGAGAGACCGGAGAUGGAGAGAAUGAGAGUGAGCGUAAGAGACAGACAGACCGAAGAUGGAGAGGAGAGUAAGCGGGUGAGAGAGGGGGGCGUGGCUGCUGCUGUGCUUGUAGAAUUAGAAAGGGGGAUUGCCACUUUCCCCCAACAUAAAUUAACAUAUAUCAUUUAUUCUUCUAUUAUUUUUAUAAUGGUUAAAAAUUAUUAUAAUAGAAUAAAUUUAUAAUAUUACUUUUAUUUUUAAUUACUCUUUUAUUUAUAUUUAUUAUAAAUUAAAUAGAUUACAUGAAUAGAAACUAAAUAAAAAAUUAAGAAUUAAAAACAAGAAAUAUAUGUUUUGAUAUGAGCAAAAAAAUUAAUAAUAACUUUUUUUUUAUAAUUAUUUAUUUUGUGAAUAUUUUCUUAUAAUAAAUAUUUUGUAAUAUUUUAAAAUUAAAUGUAAAAAGUAUAGGUAAAAUAUUUUAUUAUUUAUCUUAUAAUAAAUUUUUAUUUGUCAUUCAAAUUUUAUUAUAAUAAUUUUUUUAUCAUUUUAUAAUAACUUUCUUAUAUAUUUAUUAUAAAAAAAAUUUCACAAAAUAAAUAAGUACAAGAAAAAAAUUUUAUUAUUAAUUUUUUUCUUAUAUCAAAACAUAUAUUUCUUUUUUUUAAUGCUUAAUUUUUUAUUUAGUUUCUAUUAAUAUGAUUUAUUUAAUUUAUAAUAAAUAUAAAUAAAAGAGUGGUUGAAAAUAAGGGUAAUAUUAUAAACUUAUAUUGUCAUGGAGGUUUUUGGCUAUUAUAAAAACAACAUGGGUGAAAAUGGUAUAUGUUCAUUACUGUAGGGGAGAAAUUGGCAAUCUCCCAAUUAGAAAUUAGGUCAUGAUUUUUUUUUAGCCGAUUAAGAUUUUUUAUAUAAAUGUUUUACAUAUAAUGACGGUUACAUCCAAAACCGUCAUUGUUAUUUUUUACUUAAAUGGCGGUUCUUUACAACCGUCAUUAAUACUUUAAUAAGACAUAUAAUGUCAGAUUUUUAUAUAUAAUCGUAGUUAAAAAUCAGGUUAUAUUUUAUUUUGAUGUUUAAUGACAGUUAUAUAAUAGAACCGUUAUUAUAAAUAUUAUAUUUUUAAUGACAGUUUUUACACAAAAUCGUCAUUAAAAGUAACUAAAAGUAAAACUAUAUUUUAACUUGACACUUAAUGAUUGUUAUAUAAUUUAACCGUCGUUGUAAAUAUUACACAUUAAUGACUAUUUUUAUACAGAAUUGUCAUUAAAAGUAAUUUUACCUAGACAUUUAAUAAUUGUUAUAUAAUAAAAUGGUCAUUGUAAAUAUUAGAUAUUAUGACGGUUCAUAUAAUAACGGUUAUCAAAUACUUUUAAUGACGGUUGUAAAGAAAAACCGUCAUAAUAUAUGGGCAUUGUUUUGCAUUUUUGUAUUCGUGUUUUUACCCAAGGGUUUGGGGUUAAUUCACUAUAAGAAAACAAGUAAUAGAUGACAGACAUUUUGUGACAGAUUCGUAAAAAAUUUAUUUAUAUUAUAAAAAUAUGAUAGACUCGUGAUAUAAUUUCAGUUCUGGAUUAAUGAUGAUUUUAUGAUAAAAUUAUUGUCUAUCAAGAAUUCAUUUAUACAAAUUUAUUCCAUCAAGAAAUUAUGGUAAUUUCAAUAUAAUUUGUGCUGCUACUUAAUUAUUCAUUUUUUUUCCCACUUUGUGUCUGUAUGUGUGUGUGUUCUUGUAGUGUUUGUGAACGGGAAGUUCUGCAAGGACCCCAAGCUUGCGAGAGCUGAAGAUUUCUUCUUCUCAGGGCUAGACAAGCCUGGCAACACAGCAAAUCGACUUGGUGUUGAUGAAACAGAUGCAAAUGUUGAGCAGAUUCCAGGACUCAACACCCUUGGCAUAUCAGCAUUCCGCGUUGACUAUGCGCCAUACGGCCAAAGGCCACCUCACAUUCACCCCCGGGCCAGUGAAAUCCUGCUGGUCCUGGAAGGAACUCUUCAUGUCGGUUUUGUGACAUCAGACCAGCUAAAUAACAAACUCAUCGCAAAAGUUCUGAAUAAGGGAGAUGUUUUUGUGUUUCCAAAAGGUUUGAUUUACUUCCAAUUUAACAUUGGAAAAACAAAAGCAGUUGCCUAUUCUGCUCUAAACAGCCAGUUCCCCGGUGAAAUUACCAUAGCCGACACGGUCUUUGGAACUUUUGCGAUGAGUUUGUUAUUUAGCUGGUCUGAUGUCACAAAACCGACAUGAAGAGUUCCUUCCAGGACCAGCAGGAUUUCACUGGCAUGGGGGUGAAUGUGAGGUGGCCUUUGGCCGUAUGGCGCAUAGUCAAUGCGGAAUGCUGAUAUGCCAAGGGUGUUGAGUCCUGGAAUCUGCUCAACAUUUGCAUCUGUUUCAUCAACACCAAGUCGAUUUGCUGUGUUGCCAGGCUUGUCUAGCCCUGAGAAGAAGAAAUCUUCAGCUCUCGCAAGCUUGGGGUCCUUGCAGAACUUCCCGUUCACAAACACUACAAGAACACACACACAUACAGACACAAAGUGGGAAAAAAAUGAAUAAUUAAGUAGCAGCACAAAUUAUAUUGAAAAUUAUAUGUUUCAUCAGUUCAGCUUACGUACCACCAUCCUUGGGGUCAUUGAUGGCUACAAAGAUAUCUUGAAGCGGGCUGGGGUCAGAGGCUGAGGCCAAAGAAGAAGCCAAAGCUAAGAGAGCAAAACCUAUAAGAAAUUGAAUUGCCUUCAUGGUGAUUAAUUAACAGGAUGUACCUAUCUCAAAACUUUAAUCAAGUGUUGUGAUUUGAGAAUCUUGCGAGGGAAACUAGACUAUUUAUAGAACGGAGUCCAUGAACGAGUUUGUGUGUUCAAUUAAUAGUCCUCGAAGCAGGUCAAGACUUGCUGAGUCCUCAGUGCUUAUCUUUGUAAUGUUUUGCGGUCCUCAUUUUCGUUUUUGUUUUUAAAAUUUACGUGUAGAACUUGUUCGGUGGUACACAUCUUAAAUAUAAAUUGCAAACAUACGAAACAAAGUCUGGCUGAUAGUGAUAAAAUCCAAAACAGGUUAGACACGUUUGGGCCAAUCUUCAAAACGAACCGUAAAAUAUAAUAAGAAACAAUAUUUUAACGCAUUUUCCAAAGCAUAAUUAAAAUAUAAUUUUUUUCAUUGGAAAGAAACGAGUUGAAGAAUUUAUGAAAAUGGGUGAGAAAGAAAUUCAUGUCUCUGGCAAGCAGACUAGCAGUUGGACGUCGUGUUCUGUAGAUAUCGAUGUUACCGGACUUGAUUGGUUUGUUGUUGGGCUUAAUGAAGAAGCAUUAUUAGCCUUUUUUCCUUUUUCAUAGCAAUUUUCGUAGCUGCUUUAACCAUUUUUAGUUCUAUAAAUGCUUUACGAAGUCAACGAUGCACAUGUUUUUUUCAUUACGUGUUAAAGACACAGAUCAUCUGCUUCAAAACGUUAAGACUAGGAUCAGGAGGAACCAAAUUCUUCCAUCUUAUUUUCAGCGGUCACGUUAAUUAGAGCCUGGAGUCGGCACGUUUCGUUAGUGAUAUCCUUUUACAAUGUCAAUUGAUAUAUAUCAUUUCAACUUUAAAAGCUAAUUUUAAUAUUGAAUAAUUUUUUUUAAAAAUCCCUUUUAGUAAAAUCAUGUAGAUUUUGAAAAGUAAAAAAAGAGUAGUUUUUUAAAAUUUUAUUUUGAUAAACACUUUUAUACUUAAUACAAUUUCAUAUAUAUCCUUAUAUAUAAGAGAAAAAUCCAAAAUCAUCCUUAUUAAUUAAAAAUAAAAUUAUUAAUUUGAAAGAGAUUAUUAUUAUUAUUACCAAUUAUAUUGAGAUAAUAAAAUAAAAAUAAAAUUAAUAAUAUAAAACAUUUAUUUUAGUUAUCAAUUAUUAUAUAGACACAACUAAAAAUAUUUUAUUUACAUGUUUAUAAAUGUGUAAAUAAAUUUUAUUCAACAAAUUUUCUCUUCAAUCAUUUACAUUCUUACAUCAUUUUAAUAGUAAGAUUUACCAAAUAAAUACGACUACUUUUAGAACUCACAACAUUGUAGCAAAUGGCUAACCGAUUGUUGAAAACGACAAACUAAUAAUUUCCAGAAAGCAUGUUCUACAAAGGGUUGUUAAAAUGAUGAUUCUGGAAAAUAACGAUGAAUCGUUUACUGAAAACGGUGAUUCGAUAAUUUUUAGAUUGUAACUGUGAGCCAUUUAGCAAGAACGGAUAGCCAAAAUUUAUUUUGCAAGUCUCUGGAAAUAAACAGCUAACCGAUAACUUCAAACGGUGAACCGAUUAUUUAAAAUCUUAGCUUAACGGUCAUUUGGACUAGUCAAAAUGGUUAGCCGAUAGCAGUUAAUGACGAUCCGAUUUCUCCCAGAAAGUCAACAACGGCUUGUUUUCAGCUUCAACUAUAAAAUGACUCAAUCAAAUUCAAAUGAGAGGUGAUCCAAGAGUUAUCAUUGAGCUUACUGUUGAGUAUUAGAAAAUGUAUAUUUAUAAAGGAGAAAACCAUCAUUUUACAUUUCAAGUCUUACUAACAACUCUUACUUUUAUGUAUUUAACCUUCUUGUGAUGUAAUUACGUGUGUGUUAUUUUAAUUAAGUAUUUUAUGUAUUUUAGGGGCAUUAUAGUCAUUUCACAAUAAAGAAGAGAUCAGACGGCAAAACGGACAUCACUUUUGAACUCAGGACGGUCGAAAACCUUAGGAGGAGCAUAAAAGGAAAAAUGGCACUAUUCACAUGUACGGUACUAUUCACGUAUACGGUACUGUAUAUGUUACUGUUCAUGACACUGUUCACAUAGACGGAUCGAUGACGUGGCAUUGACCGAUGAUGUGGCAUUGACUGAUGAGGUGUCACGAUCCUGUUGGACUAAAAUUCUUAUGUACUGUUGAUGGUGACGUGGCAGCAUAUCAGUGGACGAAAAAUCUCGCGUACGGUGCAUGCAUCACACAGGAUUAUUUUCAACCAAACCAUGUUACUGUUCAUCCGGGUCAACCCGUGUUACUGUUCAUCCGUGUGGUCAAACCGUGGACUGUUGACUGAUGACGUGGCGCAAUCCUGAGCGUCCAAACUGUUUUUAAUCCGAUGGCCAUGAUUUACUCCAUGUAUCUAUAAAAAAGGGGCCUUCCCCCCCUAAUUUGAUAGCUCUGAAUCCAUUUUUGGGAUCCAUUUUCUAUAAUUCCUUCUCCAUCUUGUAUUUUCUUCGUAUUUUAAUAAAUUCCCAUUUUGCCCCUAGUUCAGUUAUGUGUGGCUAAUUUUCUUUCAAGCUUGGGUUGAAGGUGAAGUCUCAACAUGUGUCAUGGGCUUUAUUUGGUAAAUUUAUUUUCUCUUCCCCUCUAGUUUUUGUGGAUGUUUUGACUUCUCGUCGACAAAUAAUACUAAUCUUGUCUAAUACCGCCUUGGUUUCACCGGCCCUCUAGUACAAGGUUAUUAUUAUUUGGCACGAUAAGCCCUUAGCACCAUAUUGAUUAGAGCGUGGUUCAUGAGGUGUGGAUUCCCCCUCAUGAUUUAAUUGGCAUUAAUACGGAUUAUUUAGCCCAUGAUGCAUGUUGAUACUGAUCCAGAUAUCCAAGUACGUCAUUUCAAUAGAUUUCGCUUCAAUUUAUUCUCGCCAUUGCAAUUCCAAUUUUAGAAUUUAUUAUCGCCAUCUCAAUUCCAAUUUUAGGAUAAUUUAAAUCACUUCCACCACAAUUUCAACCACCCAUUUACAAAAUUAAUUCUACAUAUAAUUAAAAUCCACCUCCUCGUGGGAUCGACACUCAUCACCAUUGAUCCAUACUACAAUAGAUUCGUGCGCUUGCGAGUACAUUAAAAUUUGCACAACAAGUUUUUGGCGCCGUUGCCGGGGAGGUAAGUAAUUUUAAUUCAUAGAAUUAAUUUUUGUGAAUAAUUUUUUUUAAUUGUUUUCUUGUAUUUUUUUAAUUAAAAAAAAGAAGAAAAAAAAAGUGAAUCUACAUUUAAAGGUUAGUAUUUCUUUUCUUUUUCUCUUCUUUAAAAUUCUGUAAUUUAAUUUUUAAUUUAUUUUUCUUUGUAAUUUUUGUUUAUCUUAUUAAUUUAAUUUUUAGUUAAUUUAUUUCACGUAUUUAUUUUUGUAUAUUUUUAUAGUAAGGUUGUAAUAGUGCAAUAAGGUUAGUAUCGUAAUUUCUCCCUCUUCUUUAUUUUUAUUUGUUUUGUUCCCAUCUUAAUUUUUUAUUUUAUUUGUUUUGCAUGCAUGGUCGAAGGUCAUUAUUACCUAAUCUUGAACUUAUAGACCUUGAACUUGAGAAAACACUUCGCACAUACAAGAACGUUAAAAAUAAAUUUGAAAUGGAUUUACAAGCACCACAGGAGAGGCCAUUUAAGGAUUAUUUUAGUCCUUUAGCUAAUUUGAGCACAUCAUGCAUAAAAUACCCAAAUGUAGCUGCUAGGAGUUUUGAACUAAAACCUAGUGUGCUAAAUUGUCUCCCCACAUUUUAUGGCCUAGAAAAUGAGGAUCCAUAUAAUCAUCUAAAUGAUUUUCAUGCCAUAUGUCAAACUUUUAAAUACGAGAAUUUUUCAGACGAUGAUGUAAAACUUAGACUAUUCCCAUUUUCUUUAAAGGAUAGAGCUCGUUCAUGGUUAAAUACUUUACCUGCUAAUAGCAUUUCAUCAUGGGAACAAAUGGUAACGAAAUUUUUGAAUAAAUAUUUCCCAGUGCAUAAAACCAAUGCUAUUCGCAGGGAAAUUUCAGAGUUUACCCAAAGAGAUGACGAGCAAUUUUUCGAAACGUGGGAGCGAUUCAAUGGGCUACUCUUGAAGUGUCCACAUCAUGGGUACGAAAAAUGGCACCAAUGCCAAUAAUUUUUGGAGGGAUUAUUGCCGAAUGUGCAAGAAUGACUAAUGGCAACAAGUGGAGGAGAGCUAAUGUCAAAAAGUGCAUCAGAGAUUUGGGAAUUUUUCCAGCGACAAGCAGAUAAUUCCCAACAACGGAGUUGAUCACUCAGGAAUACUAGAAGAAUUAAGGGAGUAAAUGAGGUUCAAAUUGGCGAGUCAACUUCGGGAAUCAAAGAAGUCAAGGAGAUGGUUGAAGAUCUUGCUCGACAAAUAGCAUCGUUAUCGACUGCUAAAUCAACAGAACCACAUGACCAUGACUCAUACCCAGAUCAAGCCAAUGUCAUAGGUGUAAUGAGAAAGCCAUCAAAUUACAACCCAUACUCCAACACAUAUAAUCCUGGAUGGAGAGACCACCCCAAUUUUUCAUGGUCUCAAGAAUUCCAACAGAAUGGACCAGCAGCUCCAACUCCACCAAUGCAACAAAUUUCUCAAAAUCCUCAAGCCUCUCAGCCCCCAUUUAGACCAUACAAUCAGAACCAGAACUACUCUCAACCCAGACCAUGGGAGGAUUCAUUCCAGAAUCUCAAGAAUGUUACUUACUCCACGAUUGAGCAACAGAACCGCACCAUUGAUGGACUACGAAAUGAGUUGAGAGUAGGCUUCAACUCACAAGCUCAAUUAGUUUCAAGCCUCGAGAAGAUGAUGGGACAACUUGCUUCUUCAGUUCAGACCUUGGCAAUGACUGUUGAGAAAAGAAAAUUUCCAAGUUAACCAGUGCCUAAUCCUAAAGGGGUACAUGAAGCAAGUACCAGUUCACCACAGCAGCAUGGAGAGGUCAAAGCAGUCAUGACCUUGCGAAAAGGAAAAGAAGUCGACAACAAAGUAGAGAUACCGGUGACAAAAGAAAAUCAAAUUGUACCUAUGAAUGUUGAGGAAUCAUCACCGGAGGAGAAAGAAGAAACCAACCCGCGAGAAUACGUUCCCAAAGCUCCAUUCCCCCAGAGGUUAGCUAAAGGAAAGAAGGGAAAAUCCACAGGUGAGAUUCUCGAAAUCUUCAAACAGGUAAGUGUUAAUAUCCCUUUAAUUGAUGCUAUUAAGCAAGUUCCAUCUUAUGCCAAGUUUCUUAAAGACCUUUGUACUAAAAAGAGAAAUAUGCAUGUUCAAAAGAAGACAUUUUUAACAGAAAACGUUAGUUCUAUACUCCAACAUAAAAUUCCUUUAAAAUGCAAAGACCCAGACUCCCCCACUAUCUCAUGUAGUAUAGGGAACCACACAAUUGAGAAUGUUUUGUUGGAUUUAGGAGCUAGUGUAAAUCUUUUGCCUUACUCUGUAUUCGUGAAACUUAGACUGGGAGAAUUACACCCAACUCCAGUGGUGUUACAGCUUGCAGAUCGGUCCACGAAAAUACCUCGUGGUAUUGUGGAGGACGUGCUUAUCCAGGUAGACAAGUUUUAUUUUCCUGUUGAUUUCAUUAUAAUUGACACUAAACCAAUAUAGGAUUCAAGAAAGCACAUCCCUAUUAUUCUAGGCCGACCUUUCUUGGCGACUGCGGAUGCUCACAUUCAAUGCAGGACUGGAAAUAUGCAGUUGUCCUUCGGCAACAUGACUAUGGAGCUAAAUAUUUUCAACAUUGCCAAACAACCUCACAGUGUAGAUGAUGGAAUUGUUGAUGUGGAUUUAAUAGAAACAAUAGUUGAUAAUACUUUUCUUUCAAACCUUAGUGAUGAUCCUUUACAAACAUGUUUAACUCACUUUGGUUUGAAUUUUGAUAUUGACAGAUCGGUCGAUAAGGUCAACGCCCUACUUGACUCAGCACCAUCUAUGGACACUAAUAAAUGGAAGUCAAGAGUAGAACAACUAGCACCAUCAGAAAAGAAACUCAUCCCAUCAUCAGAAUCACCACCGAAACUCGAGCUCAAACCAUUGCCCAACACAUUGGAACAUGCAUUUUUGGGAGAAGAAAGUACUUUGCCGGUAAUCAUCUCAUCAUCCCUAAAUGACGAACAAAAAGGUAAGUUGUUGGAUGUUUUAAAAGAGCACAAAGGAGCAUUAGGAUGGACCAUAGCAGACAUAAAAUGUAUAAACCCAGUAGACUGCAUGCAUUACAUUCAUCUUGAUGAAAAUGCUAAAUCUACUAGGGAAAUGCAACGUCGGUUAAAUCCUAAUAUGAAAGAAGUUGUUAGAACAGAAGUCCUUAAGCUAUUAGACGCAGGUAUCAUUUACCCAAUUUCUGAUAGUUCAUGAGUCAGUUCUGUACAAGUUGUCUCCAAAAAGUCAGGAGUCACAGUAGUUACCAAUGCUGAUAAGGAAUUGAUACCAACUAGAGUAACUACAGGAUGGCGUGUAUGCAUUGAUUAUAGAAAGUUGAAUUCUGUCACACGUAAAGACCAUUUUCCUUUACCAUUUAUUGAUCAAAUGCUUGAUAGAUUAGCAGGCCAUGAAUUUUAUUGUUUUCUAGAUGGCUACUCAGGAUAUAAUCAGAUUCUCAUAGCACCAAAAGAUCAUGAGAAAACUACUUUCACUUGCCCUUUUGGCACUUUUGCAUAUAGGAAAAUGCCAUUUGGAUUAUGUAAUGCACCUGCUACAUUCCAACGAUGCAUGUUGAGCAUUUUUUCUGAUAUGGUUGAACGAUUCCUUGAAGUCUUUAUGGAUGAUUUUUCUGUCUUUGGUGAUUCGUUUGAUCAAUGUUUACAUCAUCUAACGCUAGUUCUGCAGAGAUGUACCGAGAAGAACUUAGUCUUGAAUUGGGAGAAGUGUCAUUUUAUGGUAAAACAAGGUAUUGUUCUCGGUCACAUCAUUUCAAGCAAAGGUAUUGAGGUUGACAAAGCCAAGGUGGAUCUCAUUUCUAAUCUUCCUCCACCCAAAACAGUCAGAGAAGUAAGAUCUUUCCUUGGGCAUGCUGGUUUCUAUAGACGUUUCAUUAAAGAUUUUAGCAAAGUUUCUAGACCCUUAUGCAAUCUACUUGCUAAGGAUGUACCUUUUAUCUUUAAUGAUUCAUGUCUUGUGGCAUUUGAAAAAUUAAAGCAGUUGUUGACAUCAUCACCCAUCAUUCAGACCCCAAACUGGAGCUUACCAUUUGAGCUCAUGUGUGAUGCAUCUGAUUAUGCAGUAGGAGCAGUAUUAGGACAAAGAGUUGAUCGAAUUCCCCACGUUAUUUACUAUGCUAGUAUGACAUUGAAUGAUGCACAGUUGAAUUAUUCAACUACUGAAAGAGAAAUGCUAGCAGUAGUGUUUGCAUUAGAGAAAUUUCGAUCUUAUCUCAUUGGUUGUAAAAUAAUUAUAUUCACAGAUCAUGCUGCUCUUAAAUAUCUUCUCACAAAGAAAGAUGCAAAAGCUAGACUAAUUCGUUGGGUGUUACUUUUGCAAGAAUUUGACUUGGAAUUUAAAGAUAAGAAAGGCACAGAAAAUGUUGUGGCGGACCAUCUCUCUCGUCUCCAUUUUGACACAAUUACAGAGCCAUUACCAUUAAAUGAGUCAUUCCUAGAUGAACAAUUGAUGAAUGUGGAAGUAUUACCUUGGUAUGCUAAUAUAGUUAAUUAUCUUGUUACAGGUAAACUUCCAGAGCAUUGGACCAAGCAAGACAAGGCUAAAUUCUUUGCAGAAAUAAAGAAUUUCUUUUGGGAUGACCCAUAUUUGUUCAAGUAUUGUGCAGACCAAAUUGUUAGACGAUGUAUCCCAGAAAGUGAAAUUCAGAAUAUCCUUUCAUUCUGCCAUGAACAAGCUUGUGGAGGCCAUUUAAGUGCUAAGAAAACGACGACUAAAGUUUUACAAUGUGGUUUUUUAUUGGCCAACUAUAUUUCGAGAUGCUUACACUUUCUGUUCUUCAUGUGAUAGGUGUCAACGAAUGGGGAGCAUUACAUGAAGGAACAUGAUGCCACUAAAUCCAAUUUUAGUGGUUGAGAUUUUUGAUGUAUGGGGUAUCGACUUCAUGGGACCCUUUCCCCCCUUCUUUUGGCCAUCAAUACAUAUUGGUUGGUGUUGACUACGUAUCGAAAUGGGUGGAAGCAAUUCCAUGCGGAACCAAUGAUCACAAAGUGGUGAUAGGAUUUUUGAAAAGCAACAUUGUUUCACGCUUUGGAUUCCCUCGAGCGAUAAUCAGUGAUGGUGGUGCCCACUUUUGUAACAAAGCAUUCAAAGCUCUUUUGACAAAGUAUUCAAUCACACACAAAGUGGCAACCCCGUAUCAUCUGCAAACCAGUGGCCAAGUUGAGAUCUCCAAUCGAGAAAUAAUGCACAUAUUAUAAAAGACGGUGAGGCCAGACAGAAAAGAUUGGUCAUUAAGACUUGAUGAUGCAUUAUGGGCAUAUAGAACGGCUUUCAAGACCCUGAUUGGGAUGUCACCCUACAGGCUAGUGUAUGGAAAAGCUUGUCACCUACCUGUGGAACUCGAGCAUCGUGCAUAUUGGGCCAUCAAGAAAUUCAACUUUGACAUGCAACAAGCCAGCUCAGAAAGAAGAUUACAACUGGCAGAACUUGAAGAAAUUCGCAAUGACGCAUACGAAAAUGCCAAGAUUUACAAGCAACGAAUGAAAGUCUUUCGUGACAAGCACAUUAUGAGAAAAUCGUUCACUCCAGGUCAGAAAGUGCUUUUAUUCAAUUCUCGCUUGUAACUAUUUCCAGGUAAGUUACGCUCUCGAUGGUCUGGUCCCUUUAUUGUUCAUACUGUUUUUCCACAUGGGGCAAUUGAAAUUAAGGACCCAAAAAACGGUGUCACGAUUAAAGUUAAUGGUCAAAGAUUAAAGCCAUAUCUAGAAUACCAACCACAUGGAGAAGACACCGAAAUAAAUUUGAGUGACCUACCAGAUUUGAAUUGAUUUUUAUUCUUCUUUUCGUUGAUUUGAUUUUUCUUUCUUUCUUUUUAUUAUGCUUUUGCUAAUUGAAAUUAUUUUUGCAUAAGUGUGUUUGUUUAACUAUUAAGUUUUCUCUUAUCAUUUUUCAUCAUGAGUACCAUACUUAGACCGUUCCUCCUGAACAUUCUUAAACCACUUCAACGUGUCAAAACUCAUCUCAAAAGGCAGAUUCAAUUUUGUAAAACACAAUGCAUUUGGGCUCUACAACUACCAGAGUUAGUAGCCUAUGUUGAGAAUCUAGAAAGCCAACUCCGAGAUAUUGAGAGAAGUGUUUACGACAUCCAGUUGGAGCUUGAGGUAAAUUCAAUAAGAGGACGAUUUUAAUUUUCUUUGUGUGUUUUAAUUUGUUUUUCUGUUUGUGUGCUUUAGUUUGUUACCCCGGUGAAGUGGCGGAUAACGGUACUCCGUGACAAUCAAGUCGGUUACUUCAGUUUCCCAUAAUAACUGACAUUCUGAGGCGAAAGUAUGGACAGAAACGAGAUUCUAGCGAAGCUUCACAAGCGAUUCCCUUCACUUCCUCAUAAUGCCCUCCUUACGAUCUAUAAAGCUCGGUCCGAACGCAUGCGAUUACUCAUGAGGAAUAACAUACCUGCUGAUAUCCGUUGGUUAAUCGAGGCAAAAGUACGAUUGGCAGGUGAGUUACCUCCUAAAUUUAUUGUAUACAUGCCUGGUUGUGGUAAAGGAAAUUAUGCAAGAAAACGACGAGCUCGAAGAAUUUUUGUUGCUUGUCAUAAGUGUGCCAGAAUGAGUUGCGAUAGAAACCCAUGUUCUUUAGGAAUGGUGUCUGAUAACAGGGAAGAUAAGAUUCAAUUCAUUAGGGAUAGCUUGAAUAAGGAGUCAUUGGAUGAUAUCCUUUUGUCUCUUGAAACGCAUCCCAGUGGAUAUGUGCAAGGAGCGAUUCUUCAGUUAUGGUCAUUAUUCCAGAAAGAGCAUGCACGAUAUAGUCUCGGGAAUCUGACUAUAAACGACCCAGUUUGCCAGUUUAUAAGAAAACUGGAUGGGAAGCCUAUCCUCGACCCAUAGAGGGCGUUCAAGCCGUUUCUGGACGUAAAACCAGAGGAAGAUGUGAGCCACAGUCGCAACUACGUGUAAAUAUCAUUUUACUUUACUGUUGUUUUAUUUCACUGUUGUUUUAUCGUUUGCAUUAUUGUCUUUAAUAAUUUUAUUACUGUUUGCUUUGUCCUUUUUACUGUUUCCUUUUUGACUCGCGAGCCACGUGCUUUACGCGUUAUUUGACACUGACAUGUUACCUCAUUCACAGCUGUGAUCUACUGUCACCAAGAUUCUUAAAUGUGAUUUAUCUUUUGUCAAGCACUCACAAAUUAUUUUUGAGAAGUAUCACAAUGGCAGCUACUCCCAAUAGACAAUUCAAGAACAUUUGUGUGCUUUCUAGAUUUACCUAUGGCAAACAUAAAGAGUUCGUGGAGGCAGCCAUAGAUCUUGGUCGAAGCAUAGCAGCGAGAAAAUUACACUUGGUGUAUGGAGGAGGUAACCGAGGGUUAUCAAAAAUGGUCUCAGAAACAGCUUUUAUUAGAGGCAGCCAAGUGUUAGGCAUCAUCCUAAGAGUCCUAAAACCAUUGGGCAGUUCGUCUGACUCAUCAACUGGAGAAGAGUUAGUCGUCUCAGGUAUGCAAGAAAGAAUAAUUGAAAUGCUUAAUCAUGCUGAUGCUUUUAUUUUCCUUCCAGGAGAUCUUGCAACACUAGAGGCACUUAUUACACUAGCAUCUUGGGCCCAUCUGCACAUCCACCAGAAACCCAUUGGUUUGUUAAAUGUCAAUAACUUUUAUGAUGGCUUUAUCGCAUUUCUUAACCAUGCAAUAAAAAACUAUUUCAUUCCUUCUAAUGUGAAAAAACUCUUUAUUUGUGCUCACACUGCUAAUGAGCUACUUGAUAUGUUACAAGCUUAUAAACCGGAGCCAGACCCCUGGACCUUUGUGUUGGAGCGACCAAAUAGUAACAGUAGCCGCAGUAAGAAGUAAAAAUUAGAUUUAACUCUCCGCCUGUAAAUAUUUUCUUCUGUGUUGCACCACCUAGGUGAUGUCUUCUAAACUCUACUUCUUUCCUUUAAAACAUUGAGGACAAUGUUUCGUUCUGGUUGGGGGGAGGGAAUAGUCGACAAUUGUGGAAUCUUGGUUAAGUUUUUACUGAUUUUUUGUUGUAGAAACUAACUGUUGCUAACGUUUUGUGUUGAAGAUGACUGAAUAUGGAGUGUAGUGCCUCUAGAAACGCAUCUUCUUAGUUUAAAAAAAAAAUUCUUUUUCUAAUUAAUUUUUCUACAUAAUUUUCACAUUUCUGCAUGCAUAUUUUCCUUUCAUGUUUAGAAUAGGUUGGGGGGUAGAAUGUUGUUUAAAAAAAAAAUUGUGUUAUUUGUUUUAACAUUGGAUGACAUGAUUAAUUUCAAAUUUUAGUAUUUGUAUUAUCUUUGGUCUUAAGUGAUGUUACGCUAUGUUUGCUACUUUACAUGUUGAUGUCGGAGACAAAUAUGAGUUGCUUGAAGAAAUGAACAUGUCAUAAUAAGUACCAAGUGAGUUUUUGAGCCUAUUAUUUUUCUUGGAGAGUAACCCUUUUGCCCAUUCUUUAUACAACUUAGCAGUUUAUUAUUGUAUACACGAUCUCUAGAUUUCUUUUGAGUUAAUCCUUAAAAAAAAAAUUGUAAAAAAAAAAUAGUAAUAAUAAAAAUUUGUUAAAAAAAAAGAAAAAGAAAAAGAAGAAAAAGAAAAAGAAGAAAAAGAAAAAAAAAGUGUGUUGCUACAUUGGGAGGCCCAUCUAACUAGUAGAUAUGGAUAAUUGUUUAGAGCCCUAAAAGACGAUGGAAAUGCCAUCUUUGAUCCGUUUGAGCCUUUCUAGUCAUCCUUUUUAUUAAAUAUCCAUAGUUACCCCUUUUGAGCCUUUAAAAAAAAAAAACAUUUUCUUUGUCAACUUAUCAUCUUGACCCACUCCGAUUUGGAGUAUUACCCGAUGUCUUAUAAAUUCCAUCACCUAUUUAUGUUUGAGAAAAUGUAAAUAAUUAUGUUGUUCAGUGAAGUUAUGCCAAAUAAAAGCCAAAAACAAAAAAAAAACAAAAGUUGUUGUUUCAAAAGAGUAAAAAUAACAACAAUAGGUGAAAUACACCUUGCAACUUCAAAAAAAAAAAAAAAUUUCUCUACAUUUUUCUCAAACAUACACUUUGUUUCCUUAUUUCCUUUCUUUGUUAGCCAUAUCCCUAGCCUACGUUACGUCCUAAUAAAAGUCCUUCUUGAUUUUAGGGAACUAUAGUUUGAAGUAGAAGCUAGUUAUGUGGGCUAAAAAGAUGUAGUGAUGCAUAAUAAUAAUAAAAAUAAAAAAGAUAAAUAAAGUGGGUUGACUAGCAUUUUUGUUUGACUUGAGAUCGUAUUAUUUCUAAGCUGAGGGCAUAUUUAUUUCAUCUUGGGGAGAGCAUGUGAUAUCACUUCUUUAUUAUUUUCUCUCUCAAUUACCAUUCAUUGGAGUGACUAUUUUUAUUGGGUUUAAUUUAUUUGUGAGAGUGUUAUUACUUCCAGUGAGAUUUUGGGGUUUGACAUGUCAUUCUUGAAAGUAGCUAUAACAAAGUCUACUGGGCUAAUUCAUGUGGAUGGUUGAUGUGGGUGUGAUGUUGCUUUAGACUGGAGAUAAUGCUUAUACUUUUAUUUGAUUGCUAUCAUUAAUCUGAUUAAAUAAACACGAGUGUUUCAACAAAAAAAAAAUCAUUUUGAAUUUGAAUUUUGUUUUCGCUUUAUUUGCUAGGGACUAGCAAUAAGCUGGUUAGGGGGUGUGUUGAGUAUUAGAAAAUGCAUAUUUAUAAAGGAGAAAACCAUCAUUUUACAUUUCAAGUCUUACUAACAACUCUUACUUUUAUGUAUUUAACCUUCUUGUGAUGUAAUUACGUGUGUGUUAUUUUAAUUAAGUAUUUUAUGUAUUUUAGGGGCAUUAUAAUCAUUUCACAAUAAAGGAGAGAUCAGCCGGCAAAACGGACAUCACUUUUGAACUCAGGACGGUCGAAAACCUUAGGAGGAGCAUAAAAGGAAAAAUGGCACUAUUCACAUGUACGGUACUAUUCACGUAUACGGUACUGUAUAUGUUACUGUUCAUGACACUGUUCACAUAGACGGAUCGAUGACAUGGCAUUGACCGAUGAUGUGGCAUUGACUGAUGAGGUGUCACGAUCCUGUUGGACUAAAAUUCUUAUGUACUGUUGAUGGUGACGUGGCAGCAUAUCAGUGGACGAAAAAUCUCGCGUACGGUGCAUGCAUCACACAGGAUUAUUUUCAACCAAACUAUGUUACUGUUCAUCCAGGUCAAACCGUGUGUACUGUUCAUCCGUGUGGUCAAACCGUGGACUGUUGACUGAUGACGUGGCGCAAUCCUGAGCGUCCAAACUAUUUUUAAUCCGAUGGCCAUGAUUUACUCCAUGUAUCUAUAAAAGGGGGCCUCCCCCCUAAUUUGAUAGCUCUGAAUCCAUUUUUGGGAUCCAUUUUCUAUAAUUCCUUCUCCAUCUUGUAUUUUCGUCGUAUUUUAAUAAAUUCCCAUUUUGCCCCUAGUUCAAUUAUGUGUGGCUAAUUUUCUUUCAAGCUUGGGUUGAAGGUGAAGUCUCAACAUGUGUCAUGGGCUUUAUUUGGUAAAUUUAUUUUCUCUUCCCCUCUAGUUUUUGUGGAUGUUUUGACUUCUCGUCGACAAAUAAUACUAAUCUUGUCUAAUACCGCCUUGGUUUCACCGGCCCUCUAGUACAAGGUUAUUAUUAUUUGGCACGAUAAGCCCUUAGCACCAUAUUGAUUAGAGCGUGGUUCAUGAGGUGUGGAUUCCCCCCUCAUGAUUUAAUUGGCAUUAAUACGGAUUAUUUAGCCCAUGAUGCAUGUUGAUACUGAUCCAGAUAUCCAAGUACGUCAUUUCAAUAGAUUUCGCUUCAAUUUAUUCUCGCCAUUGCAAUUCCAAUUUUAGAAUUUAUUAUCGCCAUCUCAAUUCCAAUUUUAGGAUAAUUUAAAUCACUUCCACCACAAUUUCAACCACCCAUUUACAAAAUUAAUUCUACAUAUAAUUAAAAUCCACCUCCUCGUGGGAUCGACACUCAUCACCAUUGAUCUAUACUACAAUAGAUUCGUGCGCUUGCGAGUACAUUAAAAUUUGCACAACACUUACAACUGAGAAUACAACCUUCAUUGAGCCUUAAACUUAUUCUUGUUUCAUUUAUUCACACUUUGAGAUUUCAUUUGUAAUCUUAUAUAUUGUGUGAGUGAAAAUUUAUUUGUAAUAUUCUUUACUUUGAGUCAUUGUAAGUGUUGGGAUAGACUUGAAUUAAGAGAUUGGGGAUAAUCUCUUAGUGUGAAGGUUUAUUGACACAUUUAAAGUCAAUUGUAAGUGUUCUUGAAGCCUUGGAGGCUUGAUUAGUGGAAUCCUCAAGCCCGACGAGCUUGGAUGCGUGGACGUGGGCAGGGUUGGCCGAACCACGUAAAAAUCUCUGUGUUUGAUUUUCUCUUCCCUUAUCUUUUUUAAUUUUGUGCUUUGAUUGAUUUUAUUAUUAUUGUGUGGUUUUGUUUGUUUAAAGUUUUAGAAACCCAAUUCACCCCCCCUCUUGGGUUGCCUAACUAGUAUUUCAAACAAAACAAAAACUUGCAAACAUAACAUAAAACUAGUAAAUCAACACUAACUAUAUAUAUAUAUAUAUAUAUAUUGGAAAUGAAACAUAAGACUUGUAAAAAGAAUGUAAAAUAUAUAAAUUACUAUAAAAUAGUAAAUUGAUGUAUUAUUGGUAAAUAAAAUGAAAACUUAUAAAUAUAACGUAAAACAAGUAAAUCAACAUUAAAUGUAAAAUAAAACAUAUAGUUUGUACAUUAUGCCUAAAACUUAUGAAUAAAAGGCAAAAUAAGUAAAUUAAUAUAAGAGUUACUGCAAAAAAAAUAAAAUCACAAUUGUAAAAUAAAACUCGUUAUAAUGUUUAUUAUCUUAUAUAUUUAUUGAUUUUUUAAUUUAAAUUGAAUAAUGAUAGUUUUGCAAUUAUGUAAUACAUGUGUUGUUUUAUUAAGUAUGAAAUUUAUUAGGGGUGUUUGCGGAUCAAAUUUUACGGAUUUGACAUCAAUCCAUAUCUUAUCCAUGAUUUUAUAGAUUAUAAAUUUUCAAUCCAAUCCAAUUCACGAAUUGGUGAAAUUUAAUUCAAAUUCAAUCAAUAGGUCUGCAGAUUAGGUAUGGAUUUGACCCAAUCUAUAUUUAAUCCCCUAUUUUGCGGAUUGGUUUGCAGAUUGAAAAUUUUUAAUUCUGUCCAAUCCACGAACUAACUAAAUAAAAAAUCAAUAUAAAAAUAAUUUUACUACUGAUCAAAUUUAAAAUUAAAUAAGAUUAAAAUAUAUUUAUCGUUUAAAUAAAGCUAGAAAAAAAUUUAAACUUUCAAAAUAUAACACACCAAAAAGAAAAUAAAAAUCAUUUGUUUAGAUCAGUACAUGAAAAAUAACUGUUUAGGAAACUAUAUUUGUUUGUUUAAUUAUUUUUUAUUUUAUAUAUUAUCGGAUAAGAUAUAAUAUAGUGUUAAUGUAAUUAUAUUUCAACUUAUUUAUUUACUAGUAAGUACUAAUGCUAUAUUUAUAAGUUUUAUUUUUUAAUUAAAUAAAUACUUUUAUUUUUUUACUGAUUCACAUAUUUUUGCGGAUUUACAGAAGUAAAUUCAUAUCCAAUCCACCAAUUGCGGAUUAUCAAAUUUUCAAUUCAAUCCAAUUUAAUCCAUCAAUCUACAGAUCGGAUUUUUACCUAUCGGACAAAUUGAGUGGAUCAUAUUGGAUUCUGAACACCCCCAAAAUUUAUGAUCAAAAUCGGAUUUUGAAAAAAAUUAUUAUUUUAAUAUUUUUCAUAGUUGUUGUAAAAUGAGGUUAUUUUGCAUCUUUCUACACUUCCUCUAGAACAAUCCUAAAUGGUCUUCAAAUACAAGUAAAAAGUUUGAAAUAACAUAAAGUAUGUAUAAUACUCCAAAUUAGAUCUAAUUUUAUUGAUAAAUCAUAUGUAUGUCUAAUAAUAUAAGAAUAUUUUUUUAUUUUGUUUUUACUUGAUCCACAGAAGAUAAAUAAUUGCGUUUAAUUAACAUGUGUAAUAAAUGGAUAUCGUUAUAGAAGAUGGGGAAAAAAAGUACAAUAAUGCUACAUAUCCCAAAUAUUAAUCCCAAAACUCAUCCCAAGUGAUGUGGUAGCUGACAUGGCAUCCAACUUAUAAAUUUAUUCUAAAUUAAAAUAGACCCCUCUAAAAUAUUUUAUUUUAAAGUAAAUCCCUUUUACAACUAAAAGUCUUUUGCUCUAUCGUUUUUGGCCUGGCUGCAAACUGAACGAACAGAGACGAAUAGAGAGAGUAAGUUCAGGGAGAGCAAAGUUUUCGGUUUCUUCUCACUCAUGACAAGUUCGUUCUUUUACCAAACUAUUUUACUAGCACUCAACAAUAUCAUGUAUUUAUUGAUUCCUUUUUGUUUAUUUUUUUAUUAUUUAUCAUGUAUUUACAUUAUUUGUUUGUGAUUGAGAUAGCAUAUUUGGGUCAAAAGAAUAAGAGGACUGAUGGCGGUGUAUAGAUCUGGUAAAAGAUGGUUGUAUUCGAUGGUAUCAUCUCAUCGCUUUCCAAUCUGCUUGGUUAGUCUGUUGCCUUUUGUAUUAUUGCUUUUGUUUUCUAAUUGAUUUUGAUUUUCCUUCCUAAAUACAAAUAAUAAGAAUAAAGAUUUCAUUUUUCGGUUGCUAGAUUUUGUAUUGAAUAAUUUUCUUCCUCUUUAUCAAGUUACUAAAAAGUUUUUAAUUUUUGUGUUUUACACAUAUUACACUUAAAACGUCUUUACUUUUAUUGCAUUAUGCUCUUGUUCAUUUAUUUUGUGUUAAAUAAUCAUGUGUAUUGUAUAAUUUCUCCACUUUUUUUUUUAUUUAAUGCUAUAAUUUAAUCUAGGUCAUGUUGAAGAUCACUUUUUUUAUUUUGUUUCACCCUGAUUGCUCCAGUGGUUCAGCUUGCGUGUUUUGGAGAAAACAUUGUCCAGUUAUUGGCAUUAGUUUUUAAUGCCAAAUUGCAGUUCAUAGAGUAGACAGUGAGGAGGUUGCACAAGCUGAAGUGCUCUUUGUGCUAGAAUGGGCAAGAAAGCAGAGUUAUAUGACAGAAAGUUAAUAGAUUUCGUCCAGUGAUUAUUCAUAUUCAAUAGUUAGUAGCAAUUAACAUAGGGAAGAAAAUAAAUUAACAUUGUAAUUUAUUUCAAUGAAACCCAAGAGAAAGGUUUCUUCUGUAAACUCAAUAUGUACUGAAAAUUAAUCUACACUUAAUUAGCUUUGCCAUUCGAAGAGAAAUUUUUCAGCAAUAUUCAUUCGCAUUAUUAUAAAAAAUUGAAGAUGUACUUCAGUCCUAACUAAAAUGUUCACUCUUUUUUUUUUUCUUUUAAAGGAAAAUUCAUUAACUAUAAGAACAUAACAUCACAAAGACAUAACAUCUGGAUUGUAUUGUUACUAUAAAAUUGCAAUAGCUCAACCUAUAAUCAUCCAUGCAAUUAAAAAUCCAUAAUUCAUCAUAAAUUUCAGAGCAAAAACUGAACCGUGAAAGUAAUUUAACAAUAAUCUAACAUUAUUGUUUGAUAACAUAAUGUUUUCAAAUAAUUCUUGUACUCCAUCUUUUUAUGUUUGGCUUCUUGCUAGAUACUUCAAUCUCUUUACAACUCUCGAGUGACCUGCAUACGUUACAAAGGAUUAGUUAAAAAGAAAAAGCUAAAGAUUUGUAACUAUGAGAAAAGAUAUUAUUUAUUUAUCUAUGUAGUACCCUAAAUAUAAAAAAAAUGACAUCAACCUAAUGACAAUAAGAAUAACAUACUCCUUAUAAUUAUAUACCAAGCAAAAAGAAUAAAAACACAUUACCUGCAUUGGAUUAUCAGAAGUAACCAUUGCAUGAGUGGUGUUGUUCUCCAAUCCAUAUCUUUGUGUUUCACUACUUAUCAUUUGAGAUCCCUUGAAUAAAAUAAUAUGUAGGAAUUAUAAGUAAUGUAUAAUAAAAUAUUUGAUAAGCAUUUUGGAUAAAAUUUAUUAAUUUCAUACCUUGGUCGUUUUCUUUUGCUUUUUUCUCUGAAUAAUUUGCUUGACCUUAGACUGCCUUCGUUUGUAAGGUGGACGACCUUUACUUCUAACUGCUAGUGGAGAAAGAAUUUUACCAUUAUGACUGCCACGAACCUCCCCAUAUUUUGUUGUGCCAUGAGCUGUAUUACUUCCACGUUGACUAAUUUCACCCCCACCUCCAUUUAGCAUUAGUUUUGCUUUCAAAUAAUCUAAUACCUCCAACACCAUAUUGCAAUUAUUCUCAUUAUUAGUCGCUAGUUCAGCUACAUCAUAAAAAAAGUUGCACAUCUUAUCAAAUCUAAGUCCUUCAGGUUUUAUGCUCCAAUUGUCAUUACUUACUUUCACCUCAGUGUGACAUCUUUUUAUAUCCUUUCUCCAUCGCCUCAAAAUAUACUGUUCUGGAAUAGAAAAUAUUUCUUUAUGAAUUAGCACUGCAAUGAUGUGUCGACAUAAUAUUCCCUUAAACUCAAAUAGUCGACACUUACAAUUAAUCUCACAAUUAACCUCAUUAAAAGAAACUUCAAAAGGGUCACGACGAUGAUUCUCUCCAAUUUUAACAUCUUCAACUACUACAAACUUUGAAGUUAAAAUAUUUGUUUGACAUGAAAAUAUCUCACAAAAGAUUUUUCCUUUUGACUCUUGCUGAAAUUCUCUGAAUUUUUCCAUUGUAUAAGUAUCUCGGAAUUGCUGCUCCAUGGCAUCAUGAGUAACACAAGGGAUAUUAGAAUUCAAAUCAUUAAAAUCAGCAUGAUUUUCUUUUUCCACCUUGUCCCGUAGUGCAUUUCCAUAUUGUUCAACAAAUUAUUUUAGAGGAGUUUUUGAAUUUACAUACCCAUCAAAGAAUGCAUGCAUACUCUCACUGUGUUGUGUUGUAGACAUUCCUGCCCAAAAUAUAUCCUUCACAUAUGUUGGAACCCAAUAUUGCCUCUCAUCAUACAAGUUUUGCAACCAUUCAUUGUUAUUAAGAUUAUAUUUUUCAAUGAACACCAUCCAACGUUCAUCAAAAUCAGAAGGUAUUAAAGAAUCAUAAACAAUAUUCUGCAUAGUCAACUUGAUCACUUCAUAUUUCUUGUAACCUUUCAAUUUUUCUGGAAGUUUUUUCAUUAUAUGCCACAAACACCACCUAUGUCGCGCAUGCGGAAAGACAACUUCAAUCGCCUUUUGCAUGGCCUUAUCUUGAUAAGUGAUUAUGGCAUUUGGAGCACAACCAGACAUACAUUUAAGCCAAGAUCGAAAAAGCCAUACAUAUGUGUCAAUGUCCUCGUUAGAAAUCAAACCACAUCCUAAUAAUGUUGAUUGUCCAUGAUGAUUGACCCCAACAAAAGCAGCAAAUGGUAUAUCAUAUUUAUUUGUUAGAUAGGUUGAGUCAAAUGUAAUAACAUCACCAAAUUCUUUAUUCACUGCUCUACUUCUUGCAUCAGCCCAAAAUAAAAAUUUCAACCGAGCAUCUUCGUCUAAAUCCACCAUAUAAAAAAAAUUGGAGUUUCCAUUUUGCAUUUUUAAGAAAUAAUCAAGAACUGCAGAAGCAUCACCAUCCCCAAGCCGUAAGCGCCUUACUUUGUGUAAAUGAUUCCUACAAUCUUUUUCUAGGAAAGUUAAAUUCUCAUGUCCUCCUGCUUCAACCACCAAAGAAUUAAAGCUUUUAUUCGGUCUUAUUCCUGCUUGAUCAUUCAAAUCCAACUUUCUUUGAACAAACAACUUCAUUACCCUGUUGGUUUUCAGAAAACGAGCCUUACUUGGUGUGUUUAACUCAUGAUUAUGCUCAUAUGUAAUGGAUUUGACCUCCCACUUUCUGUCCAAGCAUGUUGUUGCCCUUACUUUAGCCUUACAAUUUGUUUUGGAUGUUGGUUGUAAUUUAAAAGGAUGGUUCGAUAAAGAUUUUUCCUUGCUGCUGCGUGAACAUGAAAAUGUCACAUAUUUUAACUCUCCAUCGUCUCCUUUGCUAGAGGUUCUUUUAAUAAUUUCGAAUCCCAUUAUCUUCGCAUACAUCUUGUAGAACUCAAACAAAUCUUGAGUUGUAUCAAAAACCAGGCCAAUUUUUGGCUCAAUAAUUUCUUCUGCAUUUGGUUCAUUACUUAUAUCGUUCUCGUCAUCAACCUGAUUUAAAUAAAGUAAAAAUAUCCAACUAAUUAAAAUCAUCAUCAAUUAAUACAAAUUAGAAACAUAUUAAUACAAGGUAUAAAAAAAUAAGAAUAAAAAUUAAAAAUUUCACCUCAUCAGUAAUGAUUUCUAGGGAGUUUUCUAUUUCUUUUGACUCCAAAUCCGUCAUCUCAACUGAAGGUUUUGUUCUUCCUAAAGUUCUUGUCUCUGUUCAUUCAGUUUGCAGCCAAGCAAUUCAAAUUCCAUCAAUUCAUUUUUUCUUUUCAAGAAGUGCAGAUUGUUGAGUGCUAAUAAAAUAGUUUGGUAGGAAUUACAAACCUGUCAUGAGUGAGAAGACUUUGUUCUCCCUGAACUUUCUCUCUAAUUUGCAGCCAAGCCAAAAUACGAUAGGACAAACCUGUUCAAUUUGCAGCCAGACCAAAUUUGCAGCCAGGUCGAAAACGAUAGGGCAAAAGACUUUUAGUUGUAAAAGGGAUUUACUUUAAAAUAAAGUAUUUUAGAGGGGUCUAUUUUAAUUUAGAAUAAAUUUAUAAGUUUGAUGCCAUAUCAGCUGCCACAUCACUUGGGAUGAGUUUUGAGAUUAAUAUUUGAGAUAUGUAGCAUUAUUGAAAAAAGUAUACAAAUUUCCUAUAAUAAAUCUAGAAUUUAUGGUAACUAAUUCAAUAAAACUUAUUCCACUCCUACCCCCAACACUCCCCCACCUCCCUCAAAUUCGAAUAGCUCAUCUUGACCCUCGCCCACCACAAACGCUACCAGUCCAUGUGGAAGACCAUCGAACUCAUGAAACCCUACAACCUCUCCGUCUCUCCUCAAACUCUAAUACUGUUGAGGUUUUUAAUAAGUGUACCGCUUUCAAUUGUCAGCAAUGUGUUCUUUUGUAUAAUUCAUUGCUGUUUGCUUUGUGUGAAGUUGUCAAGGAAGCUCAUGUUUGCAUGAUUACCAGCAAAGCAGAGGAUCACAGCAGCACCCACAUGCAGUUACGAAUAGAUGACAUGGCAUGCCAGCUAGAGCCUGGUGGUUAUGUAAUUAGUUGUGCAUAUGUUAAUUAGCUAAAGCUGUUAUAGUUAGUUAAGAGAAUAAGUGAAUUAGUUACAGCUAAUUACAUCGAUUAGUGCUGAGCUUCAGCUUAGUAUAAAUAGCAACAUCUUUGUACAUAUGAAUAAGUUUUUUUUUUAUGAAUGAAAUUUAGUUUCCAGAAAUAUCCAGAUCUAGUUCUUAACUUUCUCAGCUGCCAAACAUUAUUCUCGUUCUUCUUCUUGGUAUCAGAGCUAGUAACAAUGGCUUCAGUCCAUCUAGCUUCUUCUUCUUCUCAAGCGCCAAUUAAUCAAACAACUGUCAAUUCAACAAAUGUGACAUUCACUUUCAAUACACCUAUUAAGCUAGAUCAAUCCGAUUAUCUGAUUUGGAGAUCUCAAGUUCUUGCCUCAAUUCGUGGCAACAGACUUGAGAAAUUCAUCAAUGAGUCAACCACUCCACCUCCUUCACACAUUGCUCAACGAAUUGAAGAUGAACUGAGAUCUGUAGAAAAUCCAGAAUUCACAACCUGGAGGUCACAAGAUCAUGUGCUUCUUGGCUGGUUACUUUCUUCAAUGAGUGAAGGUAUCAUCAGUCUAGUCUUCAAUCUAGAGACUUCUCGAGAGGUAUGAAAAGCUAUAGAAGUUCAAUUUGGAUCUCAAUCUAAAUCUAGGCUUCUGCACUUGCGAUAUAUGAUGAACUCAACUAGAAAGGAUGAUCUGAAAAUUACUGAUUAUUUCAUUAAGAUGAAAAGUAUUGCUGAUAAUAUGGCUGCUGCUGGUAGUGCAUUAAGUGAUGAUGAUCUGAUCUUGCAUGUACUCUCUGGUUUAGGUCCAGACUAUAACUCUGUUGCUACCUAUAUUACUGGACAAGUAGGAGUAGGAAAAAUGAAUGUAAAUGAAGCUUAUGCUAUGCUCCUAACUCAAGAAGCUAGGAUUGAACAACAAACUCAUAUGCUAGCUAAUACUGAUGUGAAACAAAACUUUGAGGCUAAUCUUACUUACAACAGAGGUUACAAAAAGGGAAAUAUGUCUGGAGGAAGUGGUUUUGGUGGAGGUUUUGGAUAUAAUCAUGGUUAUGGUAACAAUGGAAACAAUAACAGUAAUGGUUACAAGGGAGGUUAUAAUGGAGGCUCUGGAUUUAAUGCUAAUAGUGGAAGUGCCUAUGGCACUAAUUAUCAAUUCAAGGCUUAUCAAGGAGAUAAUAAAAAAGGUGGAGGAGGAGGCAACUGGAAUCCAAAUACUGGAAAUAGUGGAUUUAACAAUAGCAGAUCAUCUGGAAACACUAAGCCUCAAUGGAAUGUCUCUAAGCCAACCUGUCAGAUUUGUCUCAGAACAGGCCACACUGCCAAUAUUUGCUGGAAGCUUGAAGAAUUUAUUGCAUCUGGAUCUUACAGACCACCACCAAACAGAAAUCCAAAGUCUGCAUAUUUGGCAAAUAUGGAGGGACCUGCUGAUGCUAACUGGUAUUUGGAUAGUGGUGCAACACACCAUCUGACAAAUGAUAUCAAUAACAUGCAUGUUUCUGAAGCUUUUACAGGUAUAUCUAAACUUGUUGUUGGCAAUGGUGCUGGAUUGAGUAUAACACAUGUUGGUAGUGCUGCAUUGAAAUCACAUAACUCCCAUAAUACCUCCUUAACUCUUAAGCUAAAUGAUAUCCUUUUAGUGCCACAAAUUACAAAAAACCUUAUUAGCAUCUCUAAACUUACUAAUGAUAAUGAUGUUGUGAUUGAGUUUACUAAUAAUCUCUGUUUUGUGAAGGACAAGAUGAGGAGUUUGAUCAUACUGCAGGGCAAAGCUGAAAAAGGUUUAUACAAAUUGCUAUUAGUUUCAUCUAAUAAGCCAGUUCCCUCUGUUCAUCAAGUCUCUUCUGAAUCUAGUCAAAGCUUUGUUGCUGAGUCAAUAAUACCAACCAAUCCUCUUUCAAUGUUUUCAGUUGUCAAUUCUACUCUUUCAAAUAAUGCUUCUGAUCUGCAUACUGCAGCAACUCCUUGUAAAAACUCUGAGUGUUUGUUAAGUACCUCUGUAUUGCAUCAAAGAUUGGGACAUCCAUCUUCUAAGAUUUUGAGCCAUGUAAUCAAAGCAUGUUCAUCUUUCAAACUGGAUAAUAAGACUAAAACCUUUGAUUUUUGUGAUGCUUGUCAAAUAGGAAAAGUGCACAAACUUCAUUUUCCAGCUACUGUUAUCAAAACAAAGUCUCCCCUGGAUAUAUUGCAUACUGAUUUAUGGGGACCAGCCCCUGUGGUUUCAUCACAAGGCUACAGAUAUUAUGUGAGCUUUGUUGAUGAUUUCAUAAGAUUUACUUGGAUUUUUCCUUUGAAAACCAAAAGCGAAACACUGUCAGUCUUCAAAGUUUUCAAAAACCAAAUAGAGAAACAACUUGACAGACCUAUCAAAUGUCUUCAAUCAGACUGGGGGGGAGAAUUUCGAUCAUUUGUUAAUUUUCUUCAAACAGAGGGCAUCCAAUUCAGACAUUCAUGUCCAUACACUCACAACCAAAAUGGCAUUGUAGAGAGAAAACAUAGGCAUAUCACUGAACUUGGUCUCACUCUUCUUACACAAGCCAACCUACCUAUUAAAUUCUGGUGGGAUUCCUUUCAUACAGCCACAUACCUUAUCAACGGAUUACCUACUCCAGUUCUAUCAAUGAAAUCUCCUUAUGAGACUAUCUUUCAUCUCACUCCAGAUUACAAAUUCUUAAGAACAUUUGGAUGUUCAUGCUUUCCCUUUCUCAGAGACUAUAUCAACACAAGUUUCACUCUCAUACAUCCAAAUGUGUUUUCUUGGGGUAUAGUUCUGUGCAUAAGGGUUAUAAGUGUCUCCAUCCCUCUGGAAAAAUCUACAUAGCAAGUCAUGUUAUUUUUUAUGAGACUUCAUUUCCAUAUUCCUCCAUUUUCAUUUCAUCUUCUCCAUCCAAGUCUUCUAGAUCUCAAUCCAAUCUUCUUCAGCAGUAUACUAUACCUAUUUCUAAUAGCAAUUUGAACACCUUUGAAGCUACUACUGUAGGUAAUGAUCAAUAUUCUGAUCACCUUGAUAUUAUAUCUUCACCACUUUCUCACAACACAUCAUCUCAACCCUCACCACCUGCUACUUUAUUCCAGCAAACCAUACCCUCUUCACCAACUCAACCUGACAUGUCACACUCUCUGAUUCACCCAGCACAAUCAUCUCAACCUAAUCCAAUUCCUUCUACACACAAAAUGAUAACCAGAGCAAAAGCUGGAAUAUUCAAACCAAAGGCCUACUUAACAGAUCACAAUAGCCUGGAACCAUCCACUGUUUCAGAAGCAUUAUCUGAUCCCAAAUGGAAAGCAGCAAUGCAGUCUGAGUAUGAUGCUUUGAUUAAAAAAAAAACUUGGACUCUGGUGCCUAUGUGCUCAUCUUAUAAACCAGUUGGGUGCAAAUGGGUGUUCAGAACCAAGUAUAACACAGAUGGCUCAGUUUCCAAAUAUAAAGCCAAGUUGGCAGCCAAGGGAUUCCAUCAAACUGCAGGUAUAGAUUAUUCAGAAACAUUUAGCCCUGUAGUGAAGUCUGCAACAGUAAGAUUAAUCUUUAGUCUAGCUGUCAUGAAAACUUGGAAUAUCAGACAAAUUGAUGUGAAUAAUGCCUUCUUAAAUGGGGAUUUGUCAGAGGAUGUGUAUAUGAUUCAGCCUGAGGGUUUUAUGUCCAAAGAAGGCUACAUAUGCAAGCUUACCAAGGCUCUAUAUGGUUUGAAACAAGCUCCAAGAGCUUGGUAUGAUAAACUGAAAAGCUGUCUUACUACCUGGAAUUUUUGCAAUUCUAAAGCUGAUACAUCUCUUUUUGUUAAGCAUGAUGAUAAAGGCAUUAUUAUUAUAUUGAUCUAUGUUGAUGAUAUUCUGGUGACUGGUCCUGACUCAGCAUUACUUGAAGAGUUUAUUAGUAAUCUCAGUAAGGUUUUUUCCCUCAAGGAUCUGGGAUUGGUGGCCUAUUUUCUUGGAGUAGAAGUGUGUUAUACAGCUCAAGGAAUGCAUCUGUCACAGACUAAGUAUAUCAAGGAUCUGAUAAGCAAAGCUUCAAUGCAAAACUGCAAAGGGUCAGAUACACCUUUCAGCACUGGCUUCAAACUAGAGAAAAAUAUUCAAGGUCCUCUAGGGCAGGAAUUCGAAGAGCCAGCUCUUUAUAGGAGCAUUGUUGGAGGGCUUCAAUAUUUGAUCCUUACCAGGCCUGAUAUUGCAUAUUCUGUACACAAACUCAGCCAAUAUCUUAGUAAUCCUACACUCCAGCACUGGCUAGCAUGCAAGAAGGUUCUCAGGUAUCUUCAAGCUACAGCCACUCAUGGUUUAUAUAUUCAAAAAGAGGGAACUCUUGGACUUGCAGGUCUAACUGGAUACUCUGAUGCUGACUGGGCAUGUGAUGUUGAUGAUCGAAAAUCUAUUGGAGCCUACUGUAUUUACUUGGGUAAUAAUCUGAUUUCCUGGUCAUAAAAAAAACAAGCUAUUGUAGCUAAGUCAAGCACUGAAAGUGAAUACAGAGCACUCUCUUCAGCAAGUUCAGAACUUUCAUGGCUGCAAUCUCUGCUGUCAGAACUUAACAUUGUCCAAUUACCAACUCCAAUCCUUUGGUGUGACAAUCAGAGUGCAUGAGAGUUAGCUAGAAAUCCUAUUCUUCACUCUAAAUCAAAACACAUUGAGUUGGAUGUCCAUUACAUUAGAGAUAAAGUGCUUGGAAAAGAAUUAGAAGUGAGGUACAUUCCUACUGAAGAACAAGUUGCUGAUGUCCUUACCAAAGCUCUGUCAUUUCCCAAGUUCAACUAUUUUCGAUCCAAGCUCAAUGUCAUCAACAGACCAUUGAGCUUGAGGGGGGACGUCAAGGAAGCUCAUGUUUGCAAGAUUACCAGCAAAGCAGAGGAUCACAGCAGCACCCACAUGCAGUUACGAAUAGAUGACAUGGCAUGCCAGCUAGAGCCUGGUGGUUAUGUAAUUAGUUGUGCAUAUGUUAAUUAGCUAAAGCUGUUAUAAUUAGUUAAGAGAAUAAGUGAAUUAGUUACAGCUAAUUACAUCGAUUAGUGCUGAGCUUCAGCUUAGUAUAAAUAGCAACAUCUUUGUACAUAUGAAUAAGUUUUUUUUUUAUGAAUGAAAUUUAGUUUUCAGAAAUAUCCAGAUCUAGUUCUUAACUUUCUCAGCUGCCAAACAUUAUUCUCGUUCUUCUUCUGAAGUCAAGUUGUUUUAUGGUGCUUAUGGUUUGAUUAGGAGGAUGAUUAGAAAAGGGUUUGUCCCUGACAAGUGGACGUACGCGAUUCUUGUUAAUGCUUGGUGUUCUUCUGGGAAAAUGAGCGAGGCACAAGAGUUUUUGCAGGAGAUGAGUGAUAAAGGGUUCAACCCGCCUGUUCGAGGUCGUGAUUUGUUGGUUCAAGGGUUGUUGAAUGCCGGUUAUUUAGAGUCUGCUAAACAGAUGGUUAAUAAAAUGAUUAAACAAGGGUCUGAUCCGGAUUUGGAAACCUUUAAUUUGUUGAUUGAGACGAUAUGUAAAUCCGGGGAGGUUGAGUUUUGUGUUGAGAUGUAUUAUAGUGUAUGUAAGUUAGGUUCGUGCGCUGAUGUGAGUACGUAUAAGAUUUUGAUUCCAGCAGUUUCAAAGGCGGGUAUGAUUGAUGAGGCUUUUAGAUUGCUGCAUAAUUUGGUUGAGGAUGGUCACAAGCCAUUCCCAAGCUUGUAUGCUCCUAUUAUUAAAGGGGCGUUUAGGAGGGGCCAGUUUGAUGAUGCAUUUUGUUUCUUUAGUGAGAUCAAGAUUAAGGGGCAUCCUCCAAAUAGGCCGGUUUAUACAACGUUGAUAACAAUGUGUGGGCGCGGGGGAAGAUUUGUUGAGGCGGCAAAUUAUUUGAUGGAAAUGACUGAGAUGGGGUUGACUCCAAUUUCCAGGUGCUUUGAUUUGGUUACUGAUGGGCUGAAGAAAUGUGGGAAGCAUGAUUUGGCUGAGAAGAUAGAGCAGUUAGAGGUAUCUCUUCGGUCUGUUUGAUGCAUGUCAAUUAGCAGUUGAAGACGAUUCUUUAAAAGAAUUGCAUGAAUCGAAAAGAAUGCUUUUAGAUUCUCCGCGUUUCCACUCAAGAAUGAUGUGAGUUCUUCAUUAUGAGAAGUUAGCUACUUGUUGAAUUUCAGGUUCCCAUUUGUUUUUGGCACGUCAGUAUUGUUAAUAAAUUCUUGUUAAUAUGUUUGUCAAGUUGUUCAAUUUAUUUAGUAUUACAGCAUCCCGUAGAUUGUUGCCUUUUUUCCAUGAAAUAUUAGUUCAAUUUAUUUAGUACUUUAGUCUCAAUGAAGCAUGUUGGGGAAUUAAUGUAGAAAUAGGGGUCUUGGUUGUUUUUUCAAUUAUGUGGAUGAAGCUUUGACUUAGGAACCACUACUGUAGUCUAAAGAAUAUCGUUUUCUUCUAUAUCGAUGUGAUUAACUGGGUGAUUUUUGUCAAAGGUGUUUGAAAGUUUUCUGUUGCUGAAAUCUUUCGGUUUAUUUGUUGCAUGAAGCAUGUUGGCGAAUCAAUGUAGAAACAGGAAUCUUGAUUCUUUCUUUAAUUAUGUGGAUGAAGCUUUGAUCUAGGAACUUCUUCUCUAGUCUUAAUAAUAUUAUCUUCUUCUAUAUGGUUAUUAUUAACUGGGUGAUCUUUGUCAAAGGUGUCUGAAAGUUUUCUGUUUCUGAAAUCUUUCGGUUUUAUUUGUUGCAGAUGACAACCUCUAUUUAUUCCUAUGCCCAAACAUGAAACAACUUCGGGUAGUUAGGAAAAAUAUUUUUGUGAGACUAAAAUCCAUAAAUAUAUGGAGCAUCACCUCUGUAUUUGGAGAGCCGUGAGAGAUCAACUAGUCAGAGGUUAAAAGGGUUUGGGAUCCUGUUACAAUGUAUUUAGGUCUUGUUUGGGAAAUUGUGCAGUUUCAACUUGGUUAUUUAGCUUUGCUUCUUCGGUUAUCUGCUACUCUGUGUACGUGGGUUGCUUAUUUAUAAGCAUUUCUCAUUGCUUCAUUUCUAAUAUAGAAUGAACCCAAAAUUAUGUAUGAUAGAACCAAUGUUACAAAGAUAGUUCUGGCCUUUUUUGGAGAGGUGGUGCCAAUUUUAGUUCUUAUUUUAUUUGCUUACAAUGAUUUUUGGACUUCUGUUUUAUGGGAGAAAUCCACAAAGGCAGUCUUUUGAAACAGCAAUUGCAUACUCCUGGCGUGAAUGCAGUGACGUCUCUUCAGUAUUUUCACAUCUUUUUAUGCCAUAACCGAGAAAGAGCUUACUGGACCGAAGACCAUGGUGUCGCUCAAAUAUUGUCUUAGAAUUCCUACUAUUGACUUGUAUAUAAACCCACUUUUGGCUGGUGAAGAGUUAAAAGGAGAAUGUACUAGACUCGCAUAUAAAUUAUAAAUUAUAAGCUUUGUCGGAAUCUACGUUCUUUUGGCUUUUGGUCGUUUUCCACCCCAGCACGCCGUUAUUUAUUUUUAAGAAACAAUGGUCACUGUAAUUGUUGUCUUUUCUGGCUUUGUCUAGUGUUUUUCAGAGUAAUAAAUAGUUUGAUUGAUGGACUGUUGGACUUGGUAUUGGAAUUUGGAUUGACGCGGGAUUAGGAUUCUCUCGUGACGCAAAGGCUGUUGGCUCGGAGAAAUGAUUACUUUGAACAUUUUUCGCAUGCAUGCAUUCUAUGAUUUUUCAUUUGCUUGACUUUGUUGUUCAUCCAAAUGAAAUCAAAUACUCAUUUGGUAUGAUAGAAUCAAUGGGCAAUCAUUUUUAUGUUAAGCUUAAAAAAUAGGUUAUCUGUUUCUGUGCUUUGUGCUUUCAACUACCGAUGAUGAACCGCCUACUACUUCAUAACAAUGUAUGUUAUACUGACAAUAUUUUCCGUGGCUCCUUUCAUUUAUUUAUUUAUUUAUUAAAAUUGAUAUUUUUUUUAUCUUUUCGUUUUCGACAAGGAAGGUAAUUGAGAUGUUUAACGACGGGAUGAUGUUUUCCUUUAAAAGAAUAAAUAAAUAAAUAAAAGACAAAAUUUUAUGCCAUGGGGACAAAAUGCCACAUGAGGAGAAAUGCACGCCACUAAAUUUGGGAUAAUAAUUUAAUUUGAAUUGACAUCUAAAACAGUUGUAGGCUAACCAAUAUUUCUACAAAAAAAAAAAAAAAGUUCAGAGUUAUUGGUAGCGUUUUGUCUUUAAUUUUCUGAACUCUGCGCAGUUGGUGUAAUAGUCUUUGUUGCUCUUCUCUUUGCGGCUAAGGAGCCUAGAGAGAUGGAGUGAAGCUGAGCACGAACUAUGAUUUGGUACUCUCACUCCUUAAAAGAGAUCAGGUGUUCAAAUCUCGUUCUCGUAUGAAGUCACCACUUGGGCCAGCACUUUACCCUUUACGGACCGAUCCGGUGCGAGCGAAGAUUAGUCUGGGUUGUGGUACAAACUUAAAAGUGCCUCCAUAAUUGAGACCCACUCAGGACCACCUUGUAGUUCAAAAAAAAAAAAAAAUACGACUACAAUCUAUAUCUCAUGGUCCCAAAACAUCCUACCAAUCAAUGCAAUUAUCAAAAAUGAGAUUCACACCACAUUCAGCACUACAAAUAGCACCGAACGGUGCGUUUUGAGGUAACUAUAAAUCACCACUGAAUCGACAAUUGCAACAUACACUGUUCACAACACGCUCUUUCGCUCUCUCCAUCACACACCGCAAAUCUCACCAAGCCACCAAUAUCACCACGCUCCGUUCUUCCUCGGCAGGCUUCGUUCUUACCGUCGGCUCUCGCUCUCUCUCUCCCCUUCAAAUCCAGCAGCGUGGGUCACUUUCUCUCUCUCCCCUCCAAGUCCAGCAAACAUGGGCACACUCUCUCUCCCUUCCAAGUCCACUAGUCGUGGGUCACUCUCUCUUCCCACUAAAUCUAGCAACCGCAGGUCACUCUCUCUGUCUCCCCUCCAAAAUCCAGCAGCGUGGGUCACACUCUCUCUCCCCCUCCAAACCCAACGGCCGUGAGUCACUCUCUCCCUCCUUCAAAUCCAGCAGCCAGGGUCACUCUUUUUUCCUCCGAAAUCCACAGCAGCCGUGGGUCACAGCUGCCAUUGUGUCGUUGUCGACAGCUGUCGUAAUCGACUUCUGAAGGUAAUUUGCUUCCUUAGAAUAUCCUUAUUUUAAUAAUUUACUAGUUAGAAACUUAAAGUCCAACCAGGUAUUUUCCUAUACUAAUUUUUUAUGCACCAGUGUAAAUAGCUAUCUCAAUUCUGUAUUCUGAGUAAAAUGCUGGAUCUAAGAUAUUAUUUGCUUUUGUGGUGAAAAUUUGGCUGCCAGAAGAAGCAACAAUCAUUAAACUUAAUGAGCCAAUGUCAUUGACUUUUGCUCUGAGAUACAUGAAUUCAUUCACAAGGGCUACACCAUUGUUGAAUACUGUUACUACCAGCCUGUCUUCAGAACUGCCUGUUGUGGUCGAGUAAAAGAUUGCUGAGAUGGGUUAUAUUAGAUUCUACUUGGCUCCCAAUACAGAAGAAGAUGAGGAUGAGACCAAGCCUCUAGCUUAAGUGUCAUUUGGCACAUAGGCUAUGGCAUUUUUUUGAAUCAAAUUACUCCUAUAUUUUAAGUUUGCUUUUAGAAUAUUUCUCGUAAAUUUUCAUGUUGAAAAACCAAGCAUUUAGUUCAGUAGAUUGAUAAAAAUUCAUUUCUUGUGCUUGCCUUUUUUAUCUUAGUACUGUUCUACAUGUAAUUGAUUCAUUUGGCUUUGUUGCUUUGAAAUGUAGGCUUUAAUUGAGUUGAAAUUUUCAGAAAUUUAUCAAAAAUGAACCAUAAACAAAAACUUCAGAUUGUUUGCUUAUUAUAACAAUGGCAAAAUUAUAGAAGAUAGCAUUAUAUUGGGUGACAAAAUGUUCUUAUGGAUGAUCCUGAUUAAACUGUGUAUUUCACAAUGUAAUUACUUGUUGAUCAAUUUAAUUGAAUUGAUUAACACAUUGGUUUGAGUUUUAAUACUACUGCUCAGUUUUUGGGUUAAUCGAAGAUUGCAAUUUUGCAGGAACUGGUAAAUUGGACACGAUAACAAAAAACUCUCACGUAUUACCGAAAUGAUAGCUGUGAUACUUCAGCCCUUAUGAAUAGUACACAAUGGUUGCAAGCAAAUUAAUUAAUUCAUAACUUGUAAAUAAAUAAACCCAAAAAAAAAAUUAAAUGAUGGAUAAUAUGAAGGAAUCAAAUCCAGAUUUUUCCUGCAACAAACUUCCCAGAAACAAAAUUUGGUGAUAUUCCUCAAACUGAGAACACAACCUAGUGCUAUUUCCUUUGUUUGAGGUUUCUUUGUUUUUCAACAUUGAUCUAGCUAUCUUGUUGCUUUUGUUAAUGUGGACAAAACAAAUUAAUAGUGUUUAAAUUAAUUCCUACAUAUGUAUUGGCGAAAAUCAUUUGCUCUGUUUCUUGGCUUCAUUGUAGAGGACGACCCCAAUUAUGGUGAGAGUCCAGCCAGACAUCGCAGUUAUAGAUACCGGAUUUCUGAAUAUAUGAAUUGAUACAACCACUGCAAUAUCUCCUUUUGCAGUUCCAAGAACCUGAAAGCCAAACGCACUUGGUAUGUCUUAAAAUGAUGUACUUGAUUGAACUAAAUUCACAAAAAUAUUACUUAAAGAGUUAAGGCAUUGGCGUUCUUAGUGACCAAAAAAUUGGUCAAAAUGACAAAAUAUGCAAGGGAUUGAAGAUCAGAUACCAUAAGAACUCCACAUCUUGUUUAGCAAGUGCAAUUGUGAUUCCAACUACAACGUUUUCCAUUAUUAGUACAGCAGGAAGAAGGGACAUAGCAGCUACUGGAGCCAUGUCCAUGAGAAGGUUCAUAGAAUUAAACGUUUCUUUGAGACAUCAACCAAAGUACACAAUAGGUAACAAAAGUACAAGUGAAAAAUGUUCAGAUUUCAAGUGGGUAAGCUCAAAGAAAUCUGAUAUACUUUAGAGGAGAGCAAAAUCCUUUGUAGGACUGUCUGAAGUGCCCAAGCUGGGAUGUCUGGCUAUAAGUCUUACCCCACUGGCAAUAAUAACGCCAGUAACAACAGGAAUAAAGGUCACAUAAGUAAGCCAGCCCUCCCUCUUGAGGGUCAUCAAAUGAGCAAAAACCGCUGUGAAAAACGGCGUUGUAGCCCACACAGCCUGAUUAAACAACACUGGGAGAGUGAAGCUGCUAGUCAAAUUUUUGAGACAGCUGAGAGAGUGAGGUGUCAUGAGAGAUGCAAUUGACGGAGAAGAGAGAGAGGAAGCCGAUGGUGAGAAUGGUGUGGAAGAGUGGAGCAUGGUGAGAUUGGUGGCUUGGUGAGAUUUGUGGUGCGAGGGAGAGAGGGACAGAGCGUGUGUGUUAUGAACGGUGCGUGUGUGUUGUAAUUGUCAAUCCACAGUGACAAUUUAUACUUACCUUAAAACACGCUGUACGGCGCCAUCUGUGGUGCUAAAUGUUGUGUGAAUAUCGUUAUUGAUGUAAUUAUAGUUACGAAGCCUAAAAAAUUAUUGCUUUUGCUUAGUUACGGCUGGUUGUAAGUUAUUCUCUAUACAAAAAUAUGCAAAAAGUAGUUACAGGACGGUGGACCCACUUAAUUUUUAUAUGGACGGUAAGUAACACAAAUUAUAAUUUAGCAAAACUCAAAAAUUAUAGGAAAGAAAGAAUUUUUUUUUUUUUUUUUUUACCUAAAUGAUUAGAAUACAUUUACUCAUAAUUACCAAAGCAGAAAUUAAGUGAUAAUUAAGGGCUGGUGAAACAUUUAAUUUCAAACCACUAAAUUUGAGAGCUACAACAAUAAGAGAAGUUAAGUAACAAUUAAGUGCUUAUAAACGAUAACUUUUACUAUAGGUAAAGGACUUAUGUAUUCAAUAACUAACCAAGAGCUCAAGGUCAUCUCAUAUGAAUAACGCUGUUGUGUGAGAGGGAUUAUAAUUGCGUGAGAAAUGACCCCUGAUGAAUUUGGACAACCAGUAGAAAUUAGAAUUUAAAUUUUUUUUAUUUUUAAGUUUUUCCAAUAUUUCAAUGUUAUUCUCAGACAUUUAAUUAAACUUAAAUAAAUCUUAAGAACAUAUAAAAACAUGUUUUUGUAAUAGGCCUAAAACGAAACUUUAGAAAAUACAUUUUUAUGUUAAUUUCUUUUAAUUAUUUAUCUGUUACAUACAAAUAUGAUAUGAAUGUGAGAUAAACUCUUUCAUAAAUUUUGUGUUUGACAAGACCAAACCAAAACUUUCACGAAAUAAAUAAUUAAUUAGUUAAUCCAAAACUACUCUGGUUAAUGUGUUACAUGUAGAAUGUGUUUGAAUAAAUUAAUUUAUAAUAAUUUUAAACAAAAUAAAUUUAGUCUAUUUAUAUUUCACUCGUCAAUGGGAGUUCUUUUCACUCUUCGGCUUCUAGACUCUUGCAAUUUAGGGUUAUCACUAUUACUACUACUACUACUACUACUACUAUUAUUAUUAUUAUUAUUAUUAUUAUUAUUAUUAUUAUUAUUAUUGUUCUUGGUCAUAAUUUUAAAAUUUGUUGGGAAAUCUAUGGAAUUAUAUAUCAAACAUCUAAAUUAAUAAUAUGUAUGAAAUAAAUUGCAUCCCACACAAAUAUAAAUAAUAAUUUUACUUGAAUUAAACACACAAAUCCUAUAUUAUAAUAUUAGGCGUAAGAAAACUUACACACUCGACCAUUUUAUUAUAAUUUGGACUUACUGAAGUAUACUAUUCACUCAGAUUUAUCAACCAUAUAUAAGUCACUUUAUUAAACCAUGAUUAUUGUAAAAUAAAAAAAUUAUUGUCUUUCAAUUGUAAAUGGACGAACUGUUUAUACUCGACCUUUAUAUAAUUGUAUAAAUAUUAACCUUUGUAUAACUCAAAAUUAUAGUUUAUUCUAUCAAUCUUAAUAAAUUGGAAGUAGAUGAUUUUGAUUUGCAAAUGUUUUCGCUUCCAUAUUUGUAACUAUUUUGAUUUUAAAAAUUCAAUAAACAAAUAAAGUUGACCGAAGUAUUCUCUAAAUGCCGACCAUUUUAAUUAACAAAACUUAAAAACUUUUAAGGAGAAUUGGGCCAGCAGUAAAUCCUUGAUUAUAUGUAAACUGAUAACCUUCAAAAACCAUUUAAAUUGGCUUUCUUAACCCAAAAGUAUUCUAAUCCAAUGUUUGCUAUAUGAUUUCGAACCAAGUUCGAUUUAUUCAAUUCAUAAUUAAAUGACGAAGAGAAUAUUUUAAUGAGUUCAAAUAGUUUUACUUUAUUAAUAACUUAGUAGAAACCUAAUGAAAGUGAGAAUAUUGGAAUCUUUGACUCUCUUUGUAUUUGAGGUAUUUUUGCUUUUUUAUUUAUUGUUUUAGAUUUCAAUGCUAUAUUUAUUUGGUUUAUUAAAAAAAGAAAAUGCUCCUUCAAAACAUUUCAUAAAUUCUCUGCGAGUUACAUGAGAACUACGACAUUCAUUAUUUUUAUAUAUGCAGAUACAAGUUUUUUUUUUUUUUUGAAUGAUAUAUGCAGAUACAAGUUGAUCGUUAUUACAUUUUCCAUAUAUAUAUAUAUAUAUAUAGUUGUUUUCUGGUUAAGCCUUUAAAAUCAUGCGGUUUUAAAGUUUUCCUGGAUUAUCCCGCACUUUAAAAUUUCAGAUUGGAAUAUUUCUCUCUCUCUAUAUAUGUGUGUGUGUAUGUGUAUUUGAAGUUUUUUGGUCCGAAAUUUUAAAAUACAGGAAAGUUGGAGAAAGAUAUUAAAUCCCACGGUCUAAGAGCAUUAUGAAAUUAUACCCUCAAACAAUACAAUUUAAGAGAUUUCUCAAACUUUCCUAUACUUUAAAAUCCUUGAUUGGAACACACACACACACACACAUAUAUAUAUAUAUAUAGUAACUAAACUAUGUCUCCAGGCAACUAGUUAGCCUUGAACUUUGCUUGAGGAGCUUUCACUACAUAUGGAUCAAGUUGGAAUGCCCUAGCGAAAGCAUAAGGAUCAAUUGGUGGAGUAGAUCCGAAGAUUGCAUCUGCAAUUGUAAUAACACCAGGAUUCUAGUUGCUCAAAGCAGCAGUGGCAAACAGCACUGCUUGGUCCAAUAUUCGCUUGGAAAUGAAUGAGCCCAAUUGGAAACACAAACACGUCUCCUUUGUUCAGGGCUCUGGCGAAGAGCGUGUUAUUUAGCUGGUUUGAUGUCACAAAACCAACAUAGAGAGUGCCCUCCAGGACUACUAGGAUUUCUCUAGCACAAGGGUGAGUGUGAGGUAUGUUUGGCCGCCGUUUGCCACGUAGUCGAUACGAACUACGGAUAUGCCGAGUAGUUCUGAGCCCUCGAAUCUGUUCUAUAUUUACAGUCGUGACUGUUGAGCCAACUUGCUUUGUUGUGCUUUUAGGGAUAUUGUGCCCUGAAAAUCAAUCAAAACUACUUGUUAAAAAGAUUCUGUUUCGUUUUUAACUUUUUUUGUGUCUUUUACUAUUUUACCCCCAUAAUUAGACUUUUGAUACACAAAGGUCAACAAUUAAUCAAUAAAAGGAAAAAAUUAAUCAUAAGUCUGGUUUUCAUGGUAAAAUAAAAAAAUAGACAAAAAAUUAGAAAGUUCCUGUACUCAUUUUAAUGCCAAAGAGUAGUAAUGAGUUUUGAAACAUAAGGAGAGAAAUAAUAGAUCUACUUGAACAAUAGGAGGAUUUUGAUCAUUUUCCCACUUAUAUACAGAAAAACGAUACACAUCACAUGUCUUGAACUUGAAAUCAUUGAUGUCAACACAACCAAGAGGACAGAAGCUACAAGAAAUUGAACUCCUUUCAUGUUGAUUACUCUAGGUAUGUGUCAAUAGGGCAUAAGUAGCCUUUCAUAGUCGGAUUGAAUUAUAAAGAUGCGAAGACUUACCAAGUUUAUUGGUUCUUUUUUUUGUCAUGCUUUAUAAAUGAAGAUUAGUGAGUUCUCCAUGAGACUAUCCUUAGAUAUUUAUUUUUUUAAUUUGAUAAUGUUCAACGGAUAAUUUUUUAAUUCUGUAUUUGUUGUAAGUGCUUAUUUUUCGUACAUCUAAUCUUCAUAUGUCGGCUGCUGCUAGUGUAUAUCGACUAGACUGACACCACUACUAGAAAUUGUUUAUGAUCAAUGUAAAUAAAAAAGUGGUGUUUUGUUAAUAUUGGGGACUGUGGUCGUUCCGUUCAAAUAAUCUUCUAAACUUAAAAUGUCGUUUGAUGAACCAUAUAUAUGUCACAUAGAUUUACUCAUUUAUAAUAUUUUAUAUAGCACACAGUACAUGGAACAAGAAUGUGUGGAUAGUCUAUCUCGAAUGAUCUAUCUCUAUGUCAUAAAUUAAUCUUCAAUCUGAAAAUGUACAUAUGCACUCCUAAGAUAUUAAAAAACGUUUCAACAUAUUUUCAUACUUAUAUGAUCAUAUCAUUUUUUUUUCCUUCCAAGUGGGAAAAUAUUUCAUGGUCUUGGAUAGACAUCCACCCUCUUUGUGGUGUGCAUGAGUCUAUUAUUUUUAGCAAUCUAGGGAAGGAUGAUGGAUGAGGAGAAAAAGAUUAUUUAUGAAUUGACUUCUGUAAUACUGAUAUAGUCACAAAUUUAAAGAAGUAACGUUACCCAAACAAAGUCUGUACCUCAACAAACAUGAGACCAUUUAAUUCAAAUCUACCACAUGAUUAUGUGAAAUGAUAGUUAAUAAUUCAAAUAUUAUAAAUAUACUAGAUGAUUUUAAAUGUCAUGUCAAUUUAUCUCUAACUACAUAAGUAAAAUAUUAUUGUUUGAUGAGAUAUGUUGAUAUAUAUAUAAUUUUCUACCUACUCAUAGUUUACGUUCCUCGACAAAGUGUUCGGAUCUUUCUUUUUUUAAUUUUUUUUUUUUUUUGUGGCAAAAUUGUGAAAACAAAAUAAAAGAGAUGUUCAUGGUCAAAAAUUCUUUCAGCAAGGAUAAUCUGGUCAUCAGCAUCAGCUGUUUAAUAGAGAAGGUUAUAAAAAACCAAAAGCAAAGUUUUUGAAAACUAGAUAGGUUGUACAGGGAUAUUGACAGGGCUUGAAAGUAUGUUAAUGCUUCUUUUUCUUUUCUUCUCGUUAUAAGCACACAACGACAUAAUUAAUUGAUUGAUGAAAAAUCGAUGCUUUAAAGCGACUGAAGCUUUAGUAGUCCCAGCAAAAAAUUUAAACAAAGUCAGUACAUCAAAUUUUCAUUGAUUGCACCUUUUUUUGGCCAAAAUAACUCCAACAAGUAAGAACCCUCUCAGUCAAAAUUGUAAAUCACUGUAAUAAAAAAUUUUAAAGUCCUAUGUUAUAUUCUCCGUACAAGAAAUUUUAAAAUACAUUAAAGGAAAUUCAACUAAUUGACAUGUGUAUAAUAUGUAUGUUAAAUUUUAUAUAAUUACACUUGUAUAGUAAUUUUUCAAAAUAAAUUUACAUAUGGCAUAAUUUCAUUUAUUUGUUGUAUGAUUGAUAUAAUAUUUUAAAAGUACUUUAAAUUUUCUCUCUCCAUAGCAGCUUUUUUUUCUCGUAUUAUAUGUUUACGUAAGAGAAAUCUGAACUUUUUUUUUUUUGCUCUUUUUAAACAGUUUUAGUUUAAAUAAAAGUAUUGAAUUUUUAAUUCGAAUUCAUGACUAGUUUGAGUGCUUUUGGCUAGGGGUGGGCACGGUUCGGUUCGGAUCGAAAUUAAGUAGAACCGAUUUAAUCGGUUAUUUUAUAAAAAGAACCGAAUAAGAACCGAACUCAAUAAGAACCGAACUCAAAUGGAUCUUUUCGGAUCGGUUCGGUUUUUUCGGUUCUGAGCCUAUUAGGCCUAUUUUGAAUUUUUAAAUUUUUAGCCCAUUGGGCCUCAUAAAUGUAAUAAUUUUUUUCAACAAUUAGUUCAUCCUAAUUUCAUUACAAAUAUUAACAAUAAAUACAAAGUAUUCAAAGCACAUUUUAUCACUAAUAUCUUACUAACUACUAAUAAGGUACUCACAAAAUAUAAAAUAUUAAAAUUUCAAAAUACAUAACCAAACUCCAAUACUCCAUCUAUAUAAACAUAAUCAUAAUGUUGUAAAGACAAAUAAAAAUAACAACAAUUACAACUUACAACACAAAAUAAAAAGAAAAUUUAGAAACAAACGCCAACAACAUUCUCCCAUCUUCAUCAAUAUCAACAUUUUAGGCAUUUUCCAACUCAAUAUUUGGAUCUAUAAAAAAAAUUUAACACAUGUCGAUUUGAAUAAAAUCUAAAAUUAAUUUGGUUUUUCGGUUCGGUUUUUCGGUUCAGCUGAGUGAACCAAAUACCGAACCGAUAUUUCGGUUUUUUUACAAAUGAUAUAUUUCAGUUUUUUAAAAAAUAAAAACCGAUCCGAAUUAGAAAAAACCGCCAGUUUGGUUCGGUAUUUUUAAGACCGCGGUUUUUUUGCCCACCCCUACUUUUGGCAAGAAAGUUUGUUAUGCAUAGCGCACACUAACGGAAGUUAGUUACGGCAGUUGCUGCUUUGACUUUUGGUUGACCUAAGCUGUUAUAUAGGCUGAUAAGCAUAGUAGGUUGUAGUUAAUUCAUUUCUCUGAGUUAUAAAACACUUGAUGACUCAUCAGAAAUCUGAUUGUAAUCUCUUUAAAUAUGAACCCUUUACUCUUAAUGAAAAAGAGCUUGAAGAUGGCUUACUGUGCAUAAACAUUGGUGGUUAGUGUUGAUAAUUUACGUGUGUGCUUUGCAUUAUGCUUGCUAGUUGUGUUUGUCUUGAUUAUUGGGGCCAAUUUUGGUUGCUAGUUGUGUUUGUCUCAAUUAUUGGGGUAAAUUUUGGUUGUGUUAGGAAAUUGAUGGGUGAAACAGACACAUAACUAAAAUGAAAUUGAGAAACAAUGAUCACAUAGGGACACUAAGAUUUACAUGAUUCAACUUUUAGCCUACAUCCAUGGUGUUGUGCAAAUUUUAUUGUACUCGCAAGCGCAAAAAUUUAUUGUAGUAUAAAUUUAUAGUGACGAGUGUCGAUCCCAUAAGGAGGUAGAUUUAAUCAUAUGUAGGGUUAAUUUUCCAAGUUCAUAUGUGUAUUGCUUAGAAGUUAUUUCUUUAUCUUAAGAUUUAAAAUAAAAUGACAAGAAUGAAUUAAAGAUGAAACUAUACAAAUGAAGUGCUUAAGUUUUUAGAUUCACACUCAACACUUCACUAUGGACUUACUAUUCUUUUUUUAGUUCCAAUUAAUAUAUGAGGGAUAUUUCCACUCCUCAUAAGCCUCAUUCUAAUAAAUAUAGUAUCAAGCACUCAUUCUUACUACUUACUAGAACGAAACCCUUAUUUAUAGGCUUCACGUUCCCUCUUCCUCUAUUUUUUUUUUUUUUUUUAAUAAAAGACUUAGUGGAUGUUGAAAGUUACACUAAUAAUAUGCUACUUACUCAUAUCUCCCAGUUACUCAACAAAUUAUGCCAAAAGUCAGAAUGUUGCAUGAUAACCACAUGCAAUUACUUGCUACAUGCAUGCAUAUGUUCGACAUUAUGUGUCUUUGCUCUUAUCAAGCGACAUCAGCAGGUCAUCUAUCAAUUGAUCUUGGGGCUUAAUAUAAUCUGUUUCACAUCAGAUUUUGCAUAACAAAAGUAACGAAGAGAUUAAUUAGAAUAAAUAAAUAUAUAUGUGUGUGUAUGUACCGACAAAAUAUAUGUGUAAGGAGAGGCAUGGGAAAGGCUUGGCUGCUAAAUAAAAACAACAAUAAAUUAUGUUUAUUACAUGGCUACAAUCAGCCUGGAGAGAGGUUCAUCAGAGACCUCUUUUAUUACAUUAAGAUAUGAUAAUCUGGAGUUAAAACAAUAAAGCCACUAGUGAAGAGGCCAUUUAUAUUAAAGCUCAUUAAUUCCUUCUCCUAAUCGCCAUUAAUGAACUUAUGCUGAAGAUCUUUCACUGUCUUCGGGUCCAACUGGAAUGCCUUGGCAAGAAAAUCGGGAUUGAUUGGAGGAUUAGCUCCAAAGACCGCGUCGGCUAUGGUAAUUUCACCGGGGAACUGGCUGUUUAGAGCAGAAUAGGCAACUGCAUUUGUUUUUCCAACGUUGAAUUGGAAGUGAAUCAAACCUUUUGGAAACACAAAAGCAUCUCCCUUAUUCAGAACUUUUGCGAUGAGUUUGUUAUUUAGCUGGUCUGAUGUCACAAAACCGACAUGAAGAGUUCCUUCCAGGACCAGCAGGAUUUCACUGGCACGGGGGUGAAUAUGAGGUGGCCUUUGGCCGUAUGGCGCAUAGUCAAUGCGGAAUGCUGAUAUGCCAAGGGUGUUGAGGCCUGGAAUUUGCUCAACAUUUGCAUCUGUUUCAUCAACACCAAGUCGAUUUGCUGUGUUUCCAGGCUUGUCUAGCCCUGAGAAGAAGAAAUCAUCUGCUCUCGCAAGCUUGGGGUCCUUGCAGAACUUCCCAUUCACAAACACUACAAGAACACACACACAUACACACACAAAGGGGGAAAAAAAGAAUAAUUAAGUAGCAGCACAAAUUAUAUUGAAAUUUAUAUGUUUCGUUAGUUCAGCUUACGUACCACCAUCCUUCGGGUCCUCGAUGGCUACACAGAUAUCUUGUAGAGGGCUAGGGUCAGAGGCAGAGGCCAAAGAAGAAGCCAAAGCCAAGAGAGCAAAACCUAUAAGAAAUUGAAUUGCCUUCAUGGUGAUUAAUUAACAGGAUGUACCUAUCUCAAACUUUAAUCAAGUGUUGUGAUUUGAGAAUAUUGCGAGGCAAACUAGACUAUUUAUAGAACGGAGUCCGUGAACGAGUUUGCGUGUUCAAUUAAUUAGUCCUCGAAGCCGGUCAAGAUUACUGAGUUCUCAUUGGUUAUCUUUGUAAUGUUUCUCAGCCUUCAUUUUCAUUUUUGUUUUCAAAAUUUACACAUCUUAAAUAUAAAUUGUAAAACGUACAAAACAAAGUCUGGCUGACAGUGAUAAAACCCAGACAGGUUAGACACGUUUCCGCCAAUCUUCAAAGCGAACCAUAAAAUACGAUAAGAAACAAUAUUUUAACGCGUUUUCCAAAGCUUAAUUUAAAUAUAAUUUUUUCAUUGGAAAGAAACGAGUCGAAGAAUUUAUGAAAAUGGGUGAGAAAGAAAUUCAUGUCUCUAGCAACAGACUAACAGUUCGGAGUCAUGUUCUAUAGAUGUCGAUGUUACCGGACUUGAUUGGUUUGUUGUUGGACUUAAUGAAGAAGCAUUAUUAGCCUUUUUUUUUUCUUUUUCAUAGCAAUUUUCGUAGCUGCUUUAACCAUUUUUAGUUCUAUCAAUGCUUUACCGAGUCAAUGAUGCACAUGUUUUUUUCAUUACAUGUUAAAGUCACAAAUCAUCUGCUUCAAGAAAAAACGUGAAGACUAUGAUCAGGAGGAACCAAAAGUCUUCUAUCUUAUUUUCAGUGGUCACGUUAAUUAGAAGCUGGAGUCGGCACGUUUUGUUAGAGAUAGUGAAAUCCUUUUACAGUGUCAAUUGAUAUAUAUCAUUUCAACUUUAAAAGUUAAUUUUAAUAUUUAAUAAUUUUUUUAAAAAUCGCUUUUAGUAAAAUCAUGUAGAUCUUGAAAAGUAAAAAAAGAUUAGUUUUUUAAAAUUUGAUUUCGAUGAUCACUUUUAUACUUAAUACAAUUUCAUAUAUAUCCUUAUGUAUAAGAAAAAUCCAAAAUCAUCCUCAUUAAUUAGAAAAUAAAAUUAUUAAUUUGAAAGAGAUUAUUUGUAUUACCAAUUAUAUUGAGAUAACAAGAUAAAAAUAAAAUUAAUAAUGUAAAUAUUUAUUUUAGUUAUCAAUUUUUAUAAAUACACACCUAAAAAUAUUUUAUUUACAUGUUUAUAAAUUUGUAAAUAAAUUUUAUCCAACAAAUGUUCACUUUAAUCAUUUAUAUUCUUACAACAUUUUAACAGUAAGAUUUACCAAAUACAUACGACUACUUUUAAAACCCACACACUUUUAAAAAUAAAUUUUACUGAACGUUUAAUUGGUUCUCUAUUAUAGCUGAUUAUUUCUACAGUAUGACUAACAGUAAUUAUUUUACAAGUUAUAACAUUAUUAAACUAGCCCAUAGUGACUCAAUUGAUUAAAACUAAGUCAAUUAAAUCACUAAGUUAGGAAAACAAACCGCCCUUUAGUAAAUUUCUUAAUGUAAAUAUUAGUAAAUUAUGAUGGAAAUAAAAAUAAUAAUCUCUUCCUUUGUUCACCUUUUAAUUAAAAUCCGUUUCAUUAGCUAUUUGAAUAACAAACUGAAUUGAUCACGAAAUAAUAAUCUCUUUUUCCAAUCAUACGAGCGGCUUUUUAAGAUCAUUUGUAAGGACAUUAAUUAUGUAUUUUUAAUGGGUUCAUAUGUUAAUUAUAUUGUAUACCGUUUGUCAACCAAACUGGCAAUCAUUUUAUUGGUUAAAAUUCAUUCAUAUCAGUAUUUAAGAUACGCAUCACUUUCUAGCAACAAUGCGUCAAUGUUAUAUAUGUUCCCGUUCAAACUUUCCACUUGCUGCCUCACCCAUGUAAGUUAUGAAAAAGUUGCUGAGAAAAUGAAAAAAUAAUCCAUGGCCAUGGAAAUAAUAAAACGCCGCCAGCCGUUUAGUAUAAUUCUAGGAGCGAUUUAUCAUUUCUUUUUCCUUUUUGCUUUUUAUUUCAACAAUUUAUUAUUGACUAGUGUAUUGCAGGCUUGCAUCAAUGAAGUGUUUGGAUCAUUUAUCCCCUUUUUUUCAAAUAUAAUUCAGAUAUAAUUCUAGAUUAUGCUGGUAGAAACAUCGUCUCAAAGAUUCUAUUGGGUCAUCAAUAGCUGUAUAUGAGUAUAUCUUGAAGAGGGCUACUUUUUCUAGGAUAUGCUGCUAGAAAAUUUUGCAGCACGUAACUACUACGAGUUAGUCUUUUUUGUUUAAUUAAGACUCUAAUCUCCCUUUCUAGAAUGCAAGAUAAAAAAUAAAGCUAGAAACGUUAUAUCAAAAUAAUGAAUAGUUACUAAUUUUUGUCAUAUAUAAUUCUAGACAUUCUAGUCACACAUUUUACCAUUUAGUCCAUAAUUUUUCAAAGUACAUAUUAUAUUUCUAAUAUUAUACUUUUAUGUUCAAAUUACUCUGUUGAGUUAUACAUGCGGCUUUUUAACAUAUUACCCGCUGUGGGUUUGGAUUUGAUAAUGGCAAACCCGCUGCAGGUGCUGCCUAUUGCUAUCUCUAGCCGUGUACUUUUUUUUCCUUUUAACUACAUUGAUGGAAAGCUGAAUUUUGACUUUUUAUAUUCUGACGAUCCUUCCUUGUACUUCAGUAUGAAGGAAUACGAAGAGAGGGCUGUAUCUUUGGCAUUGGAUCGGCAAAAGCUCCAGGCCCUCACCAAUAAACUUAAAUCAGUACGCUUGACAUGUCCUCUAUUUGACACAGCACGAUGGAUGAGUUGAAACUAAUGUUUGCGAUUGUUUUGCAGUUCUUGGCCCACUUUGUGAAAGAAGUGACUUACAAAUGGAUGCUUUUUUUUUUUGGAAAUUGCAAGUCAAGAAUCUGGAGAGGUCAUAUAUCAAAAUGUGGAGUCUCCAUUGCUCUGGGCAGAAGCCCCAACACUUCAAAGUAACUGAGAAUGACUUGGACUUCCCUUGCGAUAGAUAGGUAUAUGGGAAGGGAAACGGGAUUGUAGAUAAAAGCAAAUAGGAAUAGUAGAACGAUGAUUAUUAUUGUAUUUAGAAGAAGAAAUUGUUUCACCUUAUUCAAAUGACGCCAUGGCUGAUUUUGUGAUGUCAGUGCUGAUAAUGGAUUGUAGUCUGUGUACAAAUGUACUUUUCUAUUUAUAAGGAUUUGUGAAAAACGUUGGAGAUUAGAAAAGAAAAUAAAUAGAUUCUUCCUCAAGCCAUCAGUUCUGUUCUAUUAGAGUUGGGACCAGUGGCACCUCCCUAAUCUCAUCAUCAAAUUCCUUCUUCAGUUAUAUUUAUUUUAUCUGUGAAAAUGUCUUUUUUUUUUUCCUUUUUUUUAAGAACACUUUUAAUUUUUAUUUUAUUUUUUUAGUUAAAAGUAGUAUUGUGUUAUUAAUUUUUAUUUCUUUUGUAAUCUUAUUAUUAUCUUAUGCACAAGAUAAAAGAUUUUUUAGGUGACGAGUUUUUCAAUAUUAAUUAUUUAAUUAAAUUAUACAUAUGUUAAAUUAUAAUUUAAAAAUAAAUUUAAGUACAAAAAUAUUUAAUCGAUAACAAAUCUGAAAAUAAUAAUAGAUUAUUUCAAAUUUUGUAUGGUUUAUUUUAGUUAGAUAAGAAGUAACCGGUACAAAAUUAAAAAAAAAAAAAAAGAUUGAUUAUAAUUGUAAGUAAUUUUUUUUUUAAAAAAGAUAGAUUAUCAAUAUAAGUGAUUUAUUGAAAAGAAAAAUUUGUGUAUGAUUAAUUUUAUUUGAAGCAGGGUUUUUGAAGGAUAAUGAAGGGGUCCCAAACACUGUGGAGUUGUUGGCUCUUCCGCUGUCAAAGUCACGUAUGCUUGGAAGCUUUUAACCACCGCUGUCAAAAGUCACGUAUACUGCAAUUGGAUCAUGGAUUUUUCAUUUAAUAAGAUAACCACCGGCGGCAACUCUGAUAUACAAAAACAUGUAUUUCAGAUUACGGAAUCUAUCCAAACAUAUAGCAUGCGAGUGCGAUUACCAGCUCGAGCAGUUUUUAUUGCGGAAUUCUUUCAAACACAUAGCACGCAUGUGAAGUUCCCACAUUGGACCUUCCAAGAUGUUAGUUUCUCUAUUCAGAAACCGAACUCAAUGCCUCAUCCCCUCCUUCAAAACCAUGACCACCGCAGCCGGGGCUAAAACCUCAAAAGACGAUUACUUCGCAGCCGUAAACCACAUCGCCAUCAUAGUCCGUCACGACAUAUAUCCAGAACGCACCCUCAACAGACUCAACCUCACCCUCACCUCAGAGCUCGUCUACCGCGUCCUCCGCGUCUGCCACACUACUUGCCCUUCCAAAUCCCUCCGCUUCUUCACCUGGGCCCGCUCCCAGCCCCAAUACUCUCCCACUUCCCUCGAAUUCGAACAGCUCAUCUGACCCUCGCCCACCACAAACUCUACCAGUCCAUGUGGAAUCUACGUUCUUCUGGCAUUUGAUUGCGUUCCACCCAAGCACGCUGUUAUUUAUUUUUAAGAAAUAAUGGUGUUUGUAAUUAUUGUCUUUUCUGGCUUUAUCUAGAGUUUAUCUGAGAAAUAAACAGUCAUAAAUAGUUUUGGUUGAUGGACUCUUGGACUUGGUAUUGGAAUUUGGAUUGAAGCAGAGGCGGUUGGCUCGGAGAAAUGAUUACUUUGAACAUUUUUUGCAUGCAUGUAUUUUAUGAUUUUUCAUUUGCUUCUAACCUUGUUGUUCAUUCAAAUGAAAUCAAAUACUCAUUUGGUAUGAUAGAAUCAGUGGGCAAUCAUUUUUAUUUUAGCUUAAAAACCAGGUUAUCUUUGCAUAGCUAUAGUUUUAUAGUUUCUGUUUCUGUGCUUUAUGCUUUCAAAUACUGAUGAUGAACCGAGUGUUUAGCCCAGAGCAAGCUUUCGGGUUUAAGGACAUUAAUUUGCAGCUGAUUCAGCGGUUACACAUACAAUGAUAAAAAUGUGUACCCAAACGCACAGUUUAUGAGCAUGUCUCUCACUGUAUACACGAUUGAGAGUGGGUCCGCCUCCUACUUUAUAACAAUUUAUGUUAUACUGACAAUAUUUUCCGCAGUGAUCGCAUGUUUGAAGUUUUGCUUCUCGAAAUGGCUCCUUUCAUUUUUUUCUUUAUUAAAAUAGACAAUUUUCGUUUUUCGUUUUCGACAAGGAAGGUAACUGAUACGUUUAACGAAGGGAUGAUGUUUUCCUUCAAAAAAUAGUUCAGAGUUAUCGGUAGCGUCUUGUCUUUAAUUUUCUGAACUCCGUGCAGUUGGUGUAAUAGUUUUUGCUGUUCUUCUCUUUGCGGCUAGUGCCUAGAGAGAUGGAGAGAAGCUGAAUGUGAACUAGGAAGGUGGAAAUGUUGUACAUUAACAUACGUAAUCAACUACGACUAUAAAUCCUUUUCAUGGACCCAAAACAUCAUAUCAAUCAAUGCCAUUAUAGUUAUCAAAACUAAAAAAUUAUGGCUUUUGAUAAGUUACAGCUUGUUGUAAGUUUUUGUCCUUACAAAAACAUACAAAAAAUAGUAAUAUGACAGUGAGCACACUUAAUUUUUGUAUGGGCUGUAAAUUACGCUAACUUAGUGUAACUAAAUGUAUUAUAAGAAAGACAAAAUUUAUUGAUUUUUUUCUUAACUAAGUGAUUAGAAUACAUUUACUCAUAAUUAUCGAAGCAGAAAUUAAGUGAUAAUCAAGGGCUUGUAAAACACUUAAUUUCAAACCUCUAAAUUUGAGAACUAUAACAAUAAGAGAAGUUAAGUAACAAUUAAGUGCUUAUAAAACGAUAACUUUUAUUAUAGGUAAAGGAGAUAUGUAUUCAAUAACUAACCACAGGCUGAAGCUCAUCUCAUAUGAAUACUAUUGUGCGAUAGAGAUUACAAUUGUAUGACAAAUGACCCUUGAUAAAUUUAGACAACUAGUAGAAAUUAGAAUUUAAAUUUUUUAUUUUUAAGUUUUUCCAAUAUUCCAAUGUUAAACAUUUAAUUAAAAUUAAAUAAAUCUUAAGGAUAUAUAAAAUCAUGUUUUUAUAAUAGGCCUAAAACGAAACUUUAGAAAAUACAUUUUUUAUGUUAAUAUCUCUUAUAUAUUUAUCUGUUACAUACAAAUAUGAUAUGAAUGAGUGAUAAACUCUUUCAUAAAUUAUAUAUUUGACAAGACCAAACCAAAACUUCCACAAAAUAAAUAAUUAAUUAGUUAAUCCAAAACUACCUCGGUUAAUCUGUUAAAUGUUGAAUGUGUUUGAAUAAAGUAAUUUAUAACAAUUUUAAACAAAAUAAAUUUGGUCUAUUCUAUAUUUCAGUCGUCAAUGAGAGUUCUUUUCACCCUUCAACUACUGGACUCUCGCAAUUUAGAGUUAUCAUUUUUAUUAUUAUUGUUAUUGGUCAUAAUUUUAAAAUUUGUUGGGAAAUCUGCGGAAUUAUAUAUUAAACAUCUAAAUUAAUAAUAUGUAUGAAAUAAAUGGCAUCCCACACAAAUAUAAACAAUAAUUUUACUUGAAUUAAACACCCAAAUCCUAUAUUAUAAUAUUAUGCAUAAUUAAACUUACACACUAGACCAUUUUAUUAUAAUUUGGACUUGUGAAGUAUAUUAUUCACUCAGAUUUAUCAACCGUAGGUCACUUUAUCAAACCAUGAUUAUUGUAGAAUUAAAAAAGUUACUGCUUGUCAACUGUAAAUGGACGAACUGUUUAUACUCACCCUUUAUAUAAUUGUGUAAUUAAUUAAUCUUUGUAUAACUCAAAAUUAUUGUUUACUCUAUCAAUCUUAAUGAAUUGAAAGUAGAUGGUUUUAAUUUGCAAAUGUUUUUGCUUCUAUAUUUGUAACUAUUUUUAUUUAAAAAAAUUCAUUAAACAAAUAAAGUUGACCAAAGCAUUCUCCAAAUGCCGACCGUUUUAAUUGACAAAGCUUAAAAACUUUUAAGGAAAUUGGGGCAGAAUAAAUCCUUGAUUAUGUGUAAACUGAUAACCUUCAAAAACCAUUUAAAUUGCCUUUCUAAAGUAUUCUAAUCGAAUAUUUGCUAUAUGAUUUCGAACCAAGUUCGAUUUGUUCAAUUCAUGAUUAAAUGGCAAAGAUAAUAUUUUAAGGAGUUGAAAUAGUUCCACUUUAUUAAUAACUUGGUACAAACCUAAUAAAAAUGAGGAUAUUGGAGUCUCUCGCUCCCCUUGUAUUUGAGAGUAUUUUCGCUUAUUUAUUUAUUAUUUUAGAUUUCUAUGCUGCGUUUAUCUAGUUUAUUAAAAAAAAAGGAAGAUCCUCCUUCGAAAAAUUUCACAAAUUCCAUGCGAGUUAAGUAAGAACUACGCCAUUCAUUAUUUUUAUAUAUGCGGAUACAAGUUGAUCAUAUAUAUAUAUAGAGAGUAACUAAACUAUGUCUUCAGGCAACUAGUUAGCCCCGAACUUUGCUUGAAGAGCUUUCACUACAUAAGGAUCAAGUUGGAAUGCCCUGGCGAGAGCAUAAGGAUCAAUUGGUGGAUCUGAUCCGAAGACUACAUCUGCAAUUGUAAUAACACCAGGAUUCUGGCUACUCAAAGCAGCGAUGGCAAACAGCGUUGGUUGGUCGAAUAUUCACUUGGAAAUGAAUGAGCCCAUUUGGAAACACAAACACAUCUCCUUUGUUCAGGGCUCUGGUGAAGUGUGUUCUUUAGCUGGUUUGAUGUCACAAAACCAACAUAGAGAGUGCCCUCUAGGAUUACUAGGAUUUCUGGGGCACAAUGAUGAGAGUGAUGUGGGUUUGGCCGCUGUUUGCCGCGUAGUCGAUACGAACUAUAGAUAUGCCGAGUAGUGUUGUGCCCUGGAAUCUGUUCUACAUUUGCAGUUGUGACUGUUGAGCUAACUUGAUUCGCUACGCUUUUAGGGAUAUUGUGCCCUGAAAAUUAAUCAAAACUACUUGUUAAAAAGAUUCCGUUUCGUUUUGAAUUUUUUUGUGCCUUUUACUAUUUUAUCCCUAUAAUUAGACUUAUGAUACAUAAAAUGUCAACAAUUAAUCAAUAAGAGAAAAAAAUUAGUCAUAAGUCUGAUUUUAAUGGUAAAAUAAAAAAUAGACAAAAAAGUACAAAGUUUACGUAAUCAUUUUAAUGCCAAAGAGUUUUAAUGAGUUUUGAAACGUAAGGAGAAAAAUAAUAAAUCUACUAGAACAAUAGGAAGAUUUUGAUCAUUUUCCCACUGAUAUAAAGAAAAACGAUACACACCACACGUCUUGAUCUUGAAAUCGUUGAUGGCGACACAAAAAUCCUGAAGACGGCUAGGGUCAGAGGCAAUGGCCAAUGAACAAGCCAAAACCAAGAGAACAGAAGCUACAGGAAAUUGAACUCCUUUCAUGUUGAUUAGCCACAUGCAAUUAGGGAUGGCAAAAAUUCCUACGGGGACAGGUACCCUCGGGGAUUUUCCCCAUUCAGGGAGGGUAUGGGAAUAAUUUCAUACCCAAUUUCUUAUUCGAGGAAGGGACGGAGAAAUUUUUUUACCAAUUUCUUAUUCGGGGAGGGGACAUGGAUGAGGUGGAAUCCUCAUCCCCUACCCAUUUUCCCAUUUUAAUUUUUAAUUUUAUUAUUAUUUUUUAAAAUUACUAGUAAAUAAAUUAUAAAAUUUGAAUUAUAAAAUUAUAAAUAUUGGUAAAAAUAACAAAUAUCAAAAUAUUUAUAUUAUUAAACUUUUAGGCUUAAUUAACUAAUUAAAGUUCUAAAUUUUUAUUUAGGACAUUAAAAAAACCGGGUAAAUUCUAUUAGCCCAAAAAUUUUGUUUUAAUUUUAAUAUUCAUUAAAUGUUUUAAACUUAAAUAUAUUUUUUAUUUAUUUUUAGAUGUUAUAAUUGCCCACAGCGAAUCACAAUUUUAAUAUCUAAUUUAAUCUAAUAUUUGCUCUUGAUUUGCUCCGACUUAACUAUUGUGUUGUAGAAGGAAUAGUCCACAUUUAUAAAGUGCCAUGCCACCAUUGAAAAAGUUAAUUUUGAAUCUAAAUUCGAUUUUAUUUGUAACAAUUUUGUAUUAGACUAUUAAUUUAUUCAUGAUAGUUUGUAAAAGAAGUUUGUAUCCCUUACAUGCUGCGUUACUUACAAAUUUAAUGUAUGUGACUUUUGUAAUGGAUAUUAAUGUAAGAUAUAUUUCAAAUUUUACUUUUAUUUUAAUUUUUUAUUUUAAUAUGAUUAACUCAAAAUCAAAAACAAAAAAUGUAUUAGUUAUUCGGGGAUCGAGGACCCUUGGGGAUCCCCUAUUAUUAUUCGGGGAGGGGAUGUAGAUUCUCUCAAGUAAUUCUGACGGGGACGGGGACAUACGCAAAAUAUCAGGGAUGGGUACGGGGAGAUUGGUCCCCUCCCCUCCCCUCCCCAUUGCCAUCCCUACAUGCAAUUGCUUGCUACAUGCAUGCAAAUGUUCAACAUUAUGUGUGAUUGCUCUUAUCAAGCGACAUCAACUAGUCAUCUACCAAUUGAUCUUGGGGCUCAAUAGAAUCUGUUUCACAUCAGAUUUUGCAUAACAAAAAGUAAUGAAGAGAUUAAUUAAUAUAUGUGUGUGUGUGUGUGUGUGUACGGAAAAAAUAUAUGUAUAAGGAGAGGCAUGGGAAAGGCUUAGCUGCUAAAUAAAACAAACCAUAAAUUAUGUUUAUUACAUGGCUACAAUCAGCCUGAAGAGAGGUUCAUGAGAGAGCUUUUUUUUUACAUUAAUUAAGAUAUGAUAAUCUAGAGCUAAAACAAUAAAGCCACUAGUGAAGAGGCCAUUUAUAUUAAAGCUCAUUAAUUCCUUCUCCUAAUCGCCAUUAAUGAACUUAUGCUGAAGAUCUUUCACUGUCUUCGGGUCCAACUGGAAUGCCUUGGCAAGAAAAUCGGGAUUGAUUGGAGGAUUAGCUCCAAAGACCGCGUCGGCUAUGGUAAUUUCACCGGGGAACUGGCUGUUUAGAGCAGAAUAGGCAACUGCAUUUGUUUUUCCAACGUUGAAUUGGAAGUGAAUCAAACCUUUUGGAAACACAAAAGCAUCUCCCUUAUUCAGAACUUUUGCGAUGAGUUUGUUAUUUAGCUGGUCUGAUGUCACAAAACCGACAUGAAGAGUUCCUUCCAGGACCAGCAGGAUUUCACUGGCACGGGGGUGAAUAUGAGGUGGCCUUUGGCCGUAUGGCGCAUAGUCAAUGCGGAAUGCUGAUAUGCCAAGGGUGUUGAGGCCUGGAAUUUGCUCAACAUUUGCAUCUGUUUCAUCAACACCAAGUCGAUUUGCUGUGUUUCCAGGCUUGUCUAGCCCUGAGAAGAAGAAAUCAUCUGCUCUCGCAAGCUUGGGGUCCUUGCAGAACUUCCCAUUCACAAACACUACAAGAACACACACACAUACACACACAAAGGGGGAAAAAAAGAAUAAUUAAGUAGCAGCACAAAUUAUAUUGAAAUUUAUAUGUUUCGUUAGUUCAGCUUACGUACCACCAUCCUUCGGGUCCUCGAUGGCUACACAGAUAUCUUGUAGAGGGCUAGGGUCAGAGGCAGAGGCCAAAGAAGAAGCCAAAGCCAAGAGAGCAAAACCUAUAAGAAAUUGAAUUGCCUUCAUGGUGAUUAAUUAACAGGACGUACUUAUCUCAAACUUUAAUCAAGUGUUGGGAUUUGAGAAUAUAGCGAGGGAACCUAGCCUAUUUAUAGAACGGAAUCCAUGAACGAGUCUGUGAGUUCAAUUUCUUAGUCCUCGAAGCAGGAGAAGACUAACAGAGUCCUCAUUGGUUAUCUUUCUUAGGGCCUGUUCGGUAAUUUUUUCCUCUCAUCUUAAAAUAUAAUUUUUUCCUCUCAUCUUCUUCCUCUCUCUCUCUCCCUCGUCGUCAAAUCUUAUCUCUAAGUGUCUCAUCUUCUCCCUUUCUCUCCCUUACCAAGUUAUACACGUUACUGCUUUUUCCUUUUUUCUCGAUCAUUUUUUCAAUUGACAUUGUGCUUUCCUUCAAUUUACUCAACUCAUUGGAAAGAAACGAGUUGAAGAAUGUAUGAAAAUGGGUGAGAAGGAAAUUCACGUCUUUGGCAACAGACUAACAGUUGAGAGUCAUGUUCUGUAGAUAUCGAUGUUUCCGGACCUGAUUGGUUUGUCGUUGGACUUAAUGGAGAAGCAAGAUUAGGCUUUUUUUUUUUUUCUUUUCAUAGCAACUUUCGUAGCUUCUUUAACCAUUUUUAGUUCUAUUAAUGCUUUACAAGUCAAUGAUGCACGUGUUUUUUUCAUUACGUGUUAAAGUCACAAAUCAUCUGCUUCAAGAGAAAACAGACUAGGAUCAGAAAGGAACCAAAAGUCUUCCAUCUUAUUUUCUGUGGUCACGUUAAUUAGAAGCUGGAGUCGGCACUUUUUGUUAGAGAUAUCCUUCUACAAUCUCAAUUGAUAUAAUAUCAUUUCAACUUUAAUGGCUGCCCGAGGUUUACCGACCGGCUAGCUCAUUAUUUUUUUGAUAAAAAUUAGUUACCUUCGUUUGUUAUAUAAUCAGGGGGAUAUUGGAAUAAAAGAGAAUGGAAAAUGCUAAGUAUCAAGAAGAAUGAGAGAAAGCUGAGAGAAUGAAGCAUGUGCUGAGAGAAGAGAGAGAGAGAAAAAGUUGACAGAAGAGAGAGAGAUGAAGCAAAACAGCAACCUGAAUUGUAGUUUCUCUCAGCUUUCUCUCGUUCUUCUAGCCAUCUAGCAGCACUCAAAGAGAAUAAUUCUUUUUGACGCUUUAAUUAUGCAGUGAGUGCUACUAUAUGACUAGAAGAACGAGACAAAGCUGAGAGAAACUACAAUCUAGGUUGCCGUUUUGCUUCAUCUCUCUUUUUUGUCAGCUUUUUUUCUCUCUCUCUUCUCUCAGUACAUGCUUCAUUCUCUCAACUCUCUCUCAUUCUUCUUGAUACUUAGCAUUUUCCUUAUGUAAUUGAUCCCCUGCAUUGGGACUGUACCGUUAUAUAUUAUUUGCUGUUUGUUUUUUAUUUAAGAUCUGAAUAAGUUUAAAUUGGUAUGAAUUUUAAAUAAAUUUAAAUGCAUGAAUUUGAAUAACGUAUUUAUUUAUUUUUUGUCACAAACUUUGAGAAUAAAUAUUAAGUUAUUUUUAACUUCAAAAAUCUAAAAUCAAAACCUUUACAUUUGUGUCCUUACAAUUUUAAAUGUUAAAUAUAUAAUGAACAUCUCAAAGAAUAUAAAUAAGAUAGUAUUUUAUCAUAAUAUAUUUAUAUUUUGUAUGAAUUUUAAAUAAAUUUAAAUGCAUGAAUUUGAAUAACGUAUUUAUUUAUUUUUUGCCAGAAACUUUGAGAAUAAAUAUUAACUUUUAACUUAAAAAAUCUAAAAAUCAAAACCUUUACAUUUGUGUCUUUACAAUUUUAAAUGUUAAAUAUAUAAUGAACAUCUCAAAAAAUAUAAAUAAGAUAGUAUUUUAUCAUAACAUAAAUGGUGCUAAGUGAAUGCAACCUAUUAAUAUUCUAAAUUAGAAUUAUAUUAAUAAAAUUUUGUGAAGAUAAAUAAUUCUAGUUUGAAGAAAAUAAAAAGAUAAAAAUAAUGAUAAUUUACUACUAUAUUAGUAAGCUUUAUUUAGGUAAGGAGGAAAAUAAAUUAAUUAGAUAAAGGUAUUGCAGAGAAUAUUUUUCAAUGAUGUGAUUCAAAAUUUUCAGAUUAAGUAAAAAGCUAAACAAAAUAAUUAGCUUAAAAACUUAAUGACUUAUCAAUCACUAAAUUUUUUUAUUAAAUUGAAAAAAUUAACAGAGUUAUGGUCCAUUUAGGAUUUAUUUCGGGAGGUGCUUUUGAAAAGUUUAAAAGGUAAUUUUGAUGUUUGACAAAUUUUUUAAAAAAUCACUUUUAGCAAAAUCACCAUAUCAUACAACAAAUUUUUAAAAAUAGAGAAAGAGUAGUUUUUUAAAAUUGGAUUUCGAGAAUCUCUUUUAUACUUAAUACAAUUUCAUAUAUAUUCUUAUAUAUAGGAAAAAAUCCAAAACCAUCCUUAUAAAUUAGAAAAUAAAAUUAUUAAUUUUAAAGAGAUUAUUAUUAUUACCAAUUCUAUUGAGAUAACAAAAUAAAAAAUAAAAUUAAAAAUAUAAAACAUUUAUUUUAGUUAUCAAUUAUUAUUUAUACACAACUAAAAAUAUUUUAUUUAUAUGUUUAUAAAUGUGUAAAUAAUUUUUAUUCAACAAUAUGUUCAAUUUAAUUAUUUACAUUGUUAAAACAUUUUAACAGUAAGAUUUACUAAACAUUUAAUUGAUUCUCUAUACAGCUGAUUAUUUUUACAGUAUAGCUAACAACAAUUAUUUUAAAAUUUAUAACAUUAUCAAACUGACCCUUAGUGACUUAAUUGACUAAAAUUAAGUCAAUUAAAUCAUUAAGUUAGGAAAACAAACUGCCCUUUAGUAAAUUUCUUAAUGCAAAUAUUAUUAAACUAUAAUGUAAUUAAAAAUAAUAAUCUCUUCCUCUAUUCACUUUUUUAAUUACAAUUAGUUUCAGUAGCUAUUUUGAAUGACAAACUGAAUUGAUCGCGAUAUAAUAAUCUCUUCUUUCAAUCAUAUGGGCAGGUUUGAGUCACUGAGGUAGCUGUGGGAAUUUGUUUUCGUUGAUUUCUGCACUGGGCUUUUUAGGAUUAUUUGUAAAGGCAUUAAUUAAGUAUUUUUAAUGGGUUUAUAUGUAAAUUAGAUUGUAUGUAAUAUUAAAGGUUUGUCAACCAAACUGGCAACCAUUAAUUAAGUUAAAAUCCAUUCGUGUCAGUAUUUAAGAUACGUGUCACAUUCUGGCAACAAUCUUAAUAUGUGUUUCCAUUCGAACUUUCCACUGGCUGCUUGACCCAUCUAAGUUAUGAAAAGUUUCUGAGAAAAUGAAAAAAUAAUCCAUGGCCGUGGAAAUAAUAGAACGCCGCCAGCUGUAUUGUAUGAUUCUAUGAGCGAUUUAUCAUUUCUUUUUUCUUUUUAUUUCGACAAUUUAUUACUGACUACUGUAUUGCAGGCUUGUAGCCAUUAAGUGUUUGGAUAAUUUAUCCCAUUAUUUUCAAAUAUAAUCCAGAUAUAAUUCUAGAUUAUGCUGGUAGAAACAUCGUCUCAAAGAUUCUAUUGGGUCAUCAAUAGCUGUAUAUAUCUUGAAGGGGACUAAUUUUUCUAGGAUAUGCUGGUGGAAAAUUUUGCACCACGUAACUACUAUGAAUGAGUCUUUGUUGCUUAAUUAAGACUCUAAUCUCUCUUUCUAGACUGCAAGAUAAGUUUAAGCUAGAAACAUUAUAUCAAGGUGUACACAUUUUCAUCAAAUAUAAUUGUAGACUUUCUGGUCACACAUUUUACCAUUUAGUCCAUAAUUUUUCAAAAUACCUAUUACGUUUCUAAUAUUAUACUUUUAUGUUUGAAUUAGUCUGUUGAACUAUACAUGUGACUUUUUAACAUAGAAUACCCUACAUACCUUUUAGUAGGGGAUUUAAAAAAAAGAGCGCAUUAUAUUAAACUAAGGUAGCAUUUGUUUUUUUUUUUUUUUCUGAAAUCUAAAUGAAUUUGAAUUUUUCUAAAGUCUGAAUGGGUCUGAUUACGAAAAUUUAAAUAAUAUGUUUAUUUUUCUUUUUUAAAUAUUUGAAUAUAAGUGACAUUUUGUUUGUUUUUAAAAUAAAAACAUCUUAAACUUGGUUAUUUGACAUUUAUGUCCUUGUAAAUUCAAAAAAAAAAAAGAGAAUUAGAUUUUAUAGUUUAGGAAAUAAGUUAUUUUACAGAGAUAUUUUUAGAAUAUAAUAUUUACUUGUCUUUCAGACCUUUUUUCAUACAGAUAAAAGUCACAAAGUUUAUUUUUUCUAUUCAUAUGUAAAUGUCUGAAAAUCAGACAUAAGUUCCAAAAAAACAAACAAGUAUAUUUUAGAAAAGGUCUGAAAUUAAUAAAAUUUCAAACUUCAGACAUUUAACAAACAAUCUCUAAGUGUAUGUUUAAUAUGAUUUAUCUAAUGGUCAUAAGUGCUUAUCUAAUCCCAUAAAUUCCUUUUAAAAUUAUUAUUAUUGUUUGAUUGCAUUUUAAGUAAAGUUUUUAAGGAUUAAAUAAAUUUUUUUGUCUCUACUAACAAAAACUUAAAUUUUAAAAUUUUGAGAGUAUAGAUUAGAGAGACCUUUUAAAAAGUUAAAUCGUCCAAAAUGUUCCAUUAUUUAUUUCACAAUAUUAUGACAUUUCUCUCUCUCUCUCUCUCUCUCUAUAUAUAUAUAUAUAUCUUAAUUUUAAAAAUUUAUCUAUUAAAAUAAUUUUAUAUAAUUUUUAACAAAGAUCUCAUCGACAACCAAACAACUAAAAUUUCUUUAAUAAAAGCUUCACUUAUAAAAAUUUUACUAAUAAAAACUUUAUUUGAAUAAAUUUUAUCAGAAAAAUUAUACCAAACGAAGCUAACAAUAAGAUUAUAAUAGUAAAAGAAUUCAAUAAUUGCACUCUUAAUGUUACCAUUUAAAAAUUAUUAAGUUAAGAAUGAAAUAGGUAAUUUGGGAAACCCAUCUGGAGGGAUUUGCUUAACAUCCUUUAAAAUUUUUUCCCAGCUGGAAGUAAUUGCUGAACAUCCUUUUCAAUUCCCGAGUAUUAUCUAAUCAGCUUAUUUUGUCAUUUUUAGGUGUUUGCAAAGGCUUUUGGCAAGGAUACUGGGUUGGCUUACGUGUAGUGGACUGAUCAUGUUGACUUUGUUCGGUAGCACAUUUUAUUUUACGCGUGUCUAGUUGUAACCAUGUCUCUCACUGUAUACACCAGUGUGAGUGGGUCCGCCUACUAUUUUAUGACAAUUUAUGUUAUACUGACAAUAUUUUUCGUGCUGAUCACAAGUUUGAAGUUUUGCUUCUCUCGAAGAACUGGCUCCUUUCAUUUAUUUAUUUAUUAAAAUUUACAUUUUUUUUCCGUUUCCUUGCAAGAAAGGUAAUUAGAUUAAGUUUAACGGGGCGAUGAUGUUUUCCAUUAAAUAAGUAAAACACAAUUUUAUGCCAGAGUAGAAAUGGCCAAUCAAAACAAGGGUUAUCCAUGUUCGUGCCAUGCCGUCGUGUGCUUAAUUUUUUUUUCUCGUACCUUGCCCAUAUAUGUUGUGUUGUGUCUAAAAAAAAGUUCAAUAAUUUUUUUUAGUUUUUUAAAAGCACGUACUAAGUAAUUGGUAUAUUUUUUUUAAGUUUAUGUUUUUUUUAGGUCUAUACCUUUAUUCAAAUUUAAUAGAAUUGAAAAUUUAAAAGUCAAGUCUAUAUUUUAUAAUAAUAAACUAAUAAUAGUAAGAGAAUGUAAUAUUAAUUUUUAAGUUUGACAUUUUAACAUUAUUUUUUUUAUACUUAACAACAACAACAAUAGUAAAUUUUUCUUAAGGGUUAACUUAAUUGUUAACUUAGACUUACAUAGAGUCAUAGAUCAUAAUUCACAAUAAUAUUAAUGGAUAUUUAUAAAAUCAUAAUAAUUAUAAUUUUAUUUAUUAAAAUCAUGAUAUCAAUUAUAUAUUUAAUAAAUUAUAAAUAUAAAUCAAUUAUAGUACUUUUUAAACUAAGAAUUAAAUGAAUUUAAAAAAUUCAUUUUCAAGUUAUUUGUAAAACUAUAAAAUUUUAAGUUUACUUUCAUUAAAAAAUAAAAUGUGCUUAUUGUGAACUUUUUUAUCGUGCUAUACUUAGUCCAUUUCUAAUCAUGUAGUGCUUUUAAUGCUCACGUGCUUAAAAUUUUAAGUCUGGCCCAGUCCACGUGCGUACUGUGCCAUACCACAUACCCUACCAAAACGUGCUGGUAUUGUGCCGUACUGUACGAAUACAUGUCGUGCCAUGUGUCAUCUAGUCCAUUGGCCAUCUCUACGCCAGAGUGACAAUAUGCCACAUUGAGAAGAAUUGUGUGCCCCUAAAGCUGGAUUAAUAAUUUAAUUUGAAUUGACAUAUAUAACAGUUGUAGGCUAACCAAUAUUUCCACAGAAAAAAGUAGUUCAAAAUUAUUGGUCGCAUCUUGUCAUAAAUGUUUUAACUCUGCGCAGUUGGUGUAAUAGUUUCGGCUGCUAUUCUCUUUACUACUAGAGCCUAGAGAUGGAGUGAAGCAUAUUGGGAAUUAGGAAAAGAGCGUUGCUUCCUUACAAUUAGGCAGGCGCUAAGUUACGGUUAACGUAACUUACGCCCACACACAGCAACAGUACCACUGGUGGGGCCUGGUACUGUUGCUACGUAAGUUACGUUAUGCCGAGUAGUGUUGUGCCCUAGAAUCUGUUCUACAUUUGUAGUUGUGACUGUUGAGCCAACUUGAUUUGCAAUGAUUUUAGGGAUAUUGUGCCCUGAAAAUUAAUCAAAACUACUUGUUAAAAAGAUUCCGUUUCGUUUUGAAUUUUUUUGUGCCUUUUACUAUUUUAUCCCUAUAAUUAGAUUUAUGAUACAUAAAAUGUCAACAAUUAAUCAAUAAGAGAAAAAAAUUAGUCAUAAGUCUGAUUUUAAUGGUAAAAUAAAAAAUAGACAAAAAAGUACAAAGUUUACGUAAUCAUUUUAAUGCCAAAGAGUUUUAAUGAGUUUUGAAACGUAAGGAGAAAAAUAAUAAAUCUACUAGAACAAUAGGAAGAUUUUGAUCAUUUUCCCACUGAUAUAAAGAAAAACGAUACACACCACACGUCUUGAUAUUGAAAUCGUUGAUGGCGACACAAAAAUCCUGAAGACGGCUAGGGUCAGAGGCAAUGGCCAAUGAACAAGCCAAAACCAAGAGAACAGAAGCUACAGGAAAUUGAACUCCUUUCAUGUUGAUUAGCCACAUGCAAUUCCUUGCUACAUGCAUGCAAAUGUUCAACAUUAUGUGUGAUUGCUCUUAUCAAGCGACAUCAACUAGUCAUCUACCAAUUGAUCUUGGGGCUCAAUAGAAUCUGUUUCACAGCAGAUUUUGCAUAACAAAAAGUAAUGAAGAGAUUAAUUAAUAUAUGUGUGUGUGUGUGUGUACGGAAAAAAUAUAUGUAUAAGGAGAGGCAUGGGAAAGGCUUAGCUGCUAAAUAAAAACAACCAUAAAUUAUGUUUAUUAAAUGGCUACAAUCAGCCUGAAGAGAGGUUCAUGAGAGAGCUUUUUUUUUAACAUUAAUUAAGAUAUGAUAAUCUGGAGCUAAAACAAUAAAGCCACUAGUGAAGAGGCCAUUUAUAUUAAAGCUCAUUAAUUCCUUCUCCUAAUCGCCAUUAAUGAACUUAUGCUGAAGAUCUUUCACUGUCUUCGGGUCCAACUGGAACGCCUUGGCAAGAAAAUCGGGAUUGAUUGGAGGAUUGGCUCCAAAGACCGCGUCGGCUAUGGUAAUUUCACCGGGGAACUGGCUGUUUAGAGCAGAAUAGGCAACUGCAUUUGUUUUUCCAAUGUUGAAUUGGAAAUGAAUCAAACCAAUUGGAAACACAAAAGCAUCUCCCUUAUUCAGAACUUUUGAGAUGAGUGUGUUAUUCAGUUGGUCUGAUGUCACAAAACCGACGUGAAGAGUUCCUUCCAGGACCAACAGGAUUUCACUGGCACGGGGGUGAAUAUGAGGUGGCCUUUGGCCAUAUGGCGCAUAGUCAAUACGGAAUGCUGAUAUGCCAAGGGUAUUGAGUCCUGGAAUUUGCUCCACAUUUGCAUCUGUUUCAUCAACACCAAGUCGAUUUGCUGUGUUUCCAGGCUUGCCAAGCCCGGAAAAGAAGAAAUCUUCUGCUCUCGCAAGCUUGGGGUCCUUGCAGAACUUCCCAUUCACAAACACUACAAGAACGCACAACACAUACACACAAAGGGGGGGAAAAAGGAAUAAUUAAGUAGCAGCACAAAUUAUAUUGAAAAUUAUAUCUUUCGUCAGUUCAGCUUACUUACCACCAUCCUUGGGGUUAUUGAUGGCUACACAGAUAUCUUGAAGAGGGCUAGGGUCAUAGGCAGAAGCCAAAGAAGAAGCCAAAGCCAAGACAGCAAAACCUAUAAGAAAUUGAAUUGCCUUCAUGGUGAUUAAUUAACAGGAACUUUAAUCAAGUGUUGUGAUUUGAGAAUAUAGCGAGGGAACCUAGCCUAUUUAUAGAACGGAGUCCAUGAACGAGUCUGUGAGUUCAAUUUCUUAGUCCUCGAAGCAGGAGAAGACUAACAGAGUCCUCAUUGGUUAUCUUUCUUAGGGCCUGUUCGGUAAUUUUUUCCUCUCAUCUUAAAAUAUAAUUUUUUCCUCUCAUCUUCUUCCUCUCUCUCUCUCUCCCUCGUCGUCAAAUCUUAUCUCUAAGUGUCUCAUCUUCUUCCUUUCUCUCCCUUACCAAGUUAUACUGCUUUUUCCUUUUUUUUCGAUCAUUUUUUCAAUUUAUUAGGAAAUUGGUGGGUGAAGCAGACACGCAGCUAAAAUGAAAUUGUAAGAAAAUAAAGAACAAGCACAAAAAAUAGACACCAGAAAUUACGUGGUUCGGCUUUUAGCCUACGUCUACGGGCGAAGACAGAAGGAAAUAUUUUACUAGUGAAAAAGAGUUACAAGUAUUGUAGUAUUUUAACUCACUUCCCAAAACCUCAAUACACCCAAACUCUCAGAACACUAAUCACUCAAGAGUUUAUUAAACUCUUAAUACUCUCAACUCUAAAGGAAGGCAAUACUUCUCUCUCUCGAUGGAAUUGAAUGCAAAAUGAAAUGGGGAGCUCUGCCUUUUAUAGCCAAAAAAUGGCUAUUAAAUUAUUAUUAUCUUCUUCUUUCUUUUUCUUUUUUUCUUCAUUCCAAAUUUGCUGCUGCCAAAUUCUUCUUCUUUUUCUUUGGACGACACCAAGACCUUCAACAUUUUCUUUGGCCGGCUGUCAAAGCCAACUUUGCUUAUUCAAGGCUUCUAGAUGUUGCAGCCAAUUUUGACAUUCUCCCACUUGGAGAUUAGAUUGAGAAUCAAUCAAUUUCCACACUAUCCUUUUCUGCUUCGCCAUUGUCAUGUUGCCUACGUUUCUGCUAGGCCACAAGAGGAUCUACUCCAGAUAAACUUGUUAGCAUUUAUCGGCUUGGUCAAAACAUCUGCUGGGUUCUCCUUCGUAUGGAUUUUCUGUAAAUCCACAUUUCCGUCUUCCACUACUUCUCGAACGAAGUGAUACUGAACUCCUAUGUGCUUUGUCCUGGAAUGAAAGGCUGGAUUCCUUACAAUGUGCAAGGCACUCUGACUGUCACAAAACACAUAAAUUUUCUCUUGUUUGUGCCCGAGCUCCUCCAAUAAUCUUUAUAUCCAAAUAACUUCCUUGCAAGCUUGUGUAGCUGCCAUGUACUCUGCUUCUGUUGUAGAUAAAGCCACAACGGUCUGCAGUUUCAAAACACAGCUUACAGCUGCUCCCGCAAGUGUAAACACAUAACCAAUAGUGGAUUUUCUUUUAUCGAGAUCUCGUACAAAAUCUGAAUCCACAUAGCCCCUGACAGUAAACUCUGAUCCUCCAUAACAUAAUGCAACAUCUGAGGUUCCUUUGAUGUAUCUCAGAAUCCUCUUUACAACUAUCCAAUGCUCUCCACCGAGAUUCACCAUGUAUCGACUGACUACUCCCACUGCUUGUGCAAUGUCUGGUCUAGUACAUAUUAUAGCGAACAUUAAACUUCUCACUGCUGAUGCAUACGGUACUCAAGACAUCUCUUUCCUCUCUGCUUCAUUACUAGGACACAUACUUGAGGAUAAUUUGAAAUUAACAGGAAGUGGCGUAGAAAUUGACUUACAAUCUUGCAUGUUGAAGCGCCGCAAGAUUUUCUUCAAGUAAUUCUUCUGUGAAAGCCAAAUCUUCCUGUUAUUUAUGUCUCGGUGAAUUUGCAUCCCUAGAAUCUUGUUUACUGGUCCCAAGUCCUUCAUUUCAAACUCCCUAGCCAACUGUGCCUUCAAUUCUUGGACUCGAUCUUUGUUGGGGCAUGCUACCAACAUGUCAUCCACGUACAACAACAAAAUAAUGAAAUCAUUAUCUUCAAACCUCUUGUAAUAUGCACAAUGGUCUGAACUGAGUCUGUUGUAUCCAAGGCUCAUGAUGAAGGAAUCAAAUCUCUCAUACCAACACAUCGGCGCCUGUUUGAGACCGUAUAGAGAUUUGUUCAACUUGCAAACCAAGUUCUCCUUUCCUGAUUCUGCAAAACCUUCUGGUUGGAGCAUAUAUAUUUCUUCUUCAAGUUCUCCAUGAAGAAAUGCAGUUUUCACAUCCAACUGCUCUAGAUGUAGGUCAAAUGUAGCACACAUUGCCAAGACUACUCUGACUGUUGUGAGUCGAACCACCAGAGAAAAUAUCUCGUUGAAGUCAAUACCUUCUUUCUGAGCAUAUCCUUUCACCAUCAGUCUUGUACGAUACCGCUCCACUUAGUCAUUGCCAUCACGUUUGAUCUUAUAGACCCAUUUGUUACCAAUGGCUUUUCUUCCACAUGGUAGCGAUACAAGUUCCCAUGUCUUGUUCUUGUGUAGAGCCUUAAUUUCUUCCUGCAUUGCUGUCAUCCACAAAGCAACAUCUGAGCUGUUUAAAGUUUGCUUCAUGGAAAAUUGAAGGCUCUCCAUCAUCUGUUAGAAGACAAUAUGCAACGUUGAUCUCUGUGACAUACUCCGAGUGCCACGUUGGCGGUCGUCUCUCACGAGUUGACCGACAAACUUCUGGAGCCUCGGACUCGACUGGUUCUUAUUCCUCGUGCUCUGGUGCUGCUUCAGAAGAAUCAGAAUCUUCUGGAUUAUUUUUCACAUAUACCGGUAUAGUCUCUGACUUUUCUUUUACAGUGCCAUCAUCCUCAUCUCUCUUUUGCAGUUGAUCUUCUACAAAAAUAACAUCUCUGCUGAUGACGAUCUUGUGGGCAGUGGGGUCCCACAGACGAUACUCUUUUACUCUAUCAGUAUAUCCCAAGAAGAUACAUCUUCUAGAUUUUGGAUCCAGCUUUGUUCUUUCUUGGGCAUUGUACAUCACGUACACAGGACAUCCAAAUGCAUGUAGGUAAGAAUAAUCAACUGGCUUUCCAAUCCACAUCUUCAUCGCUGUCUUCAGCCCAAUAGCUGUAGAUGGCGACCGAUUUACUAUAUAACAAACAGUUUUGGCUGCUUCUGCCCAGAAUGAAUUGGGUAGACCAGCAGUCCUCAACAUAGCUCUUAUUCUUUCUGUAAGAGUUCUGUUCAUUCGCUCUGCCACUCCGUUUUGUUGAGGAGUGUAUGCUACAGUGAACUGUCUCUGAAUACCUUAUUGCUUACAGAAAGUAAGAAACUCGCCGUCUGUAUAUUCUCCACCAUUAUCCGUCCUCAAGCACUUGAUCUUUUUACCAUAAUCAAGUUCCACCCACGCUUUGUAUUCUUUAAACACUGGAAAUACAUAUGACUUUUUCUUAAUUGGAUACACCCAACAUCUUCUGGAAUAAUCAUCAAUGAAAGUCACCAUGUACUUUGCACCUCCCAUGGAUAUAUCCGGUGAUUCCCAAACAUCAGAAUGAAUCAAGUCUAGAAUGCAUUUACUUCUAGCAAUAGAUCUACUGAAUUUUAAUCUAUGCUGCUUACUUAUAACACAAUGCUCGCGAAAUGGUAAACUUACCGAUUUGAGCCCUGGAAGCAAUUUUCACUCAGAGAGAAUCUUCAAAUCUUGUUCUGACAUGUGGCCAAGUUUGAGAUGCCACAUCAUCGUUGACUCUUCUCCAUUUGAUGCGACACACGCAUCAGCCUCCUGUAGUGUUUCUCCUUUAAGCAUGAAUAGAUUAGCACCAAUCUUUUCUGCCUUCAUCAAUACAAGCGCUCCUUUAACAAUCUUCAUAAUUUCAUUCUCCACAUGAGUUUUGCACCCAUGACUGUCUAUUUGUCCCAAAGACAAUAGAUUUUUUUUCAGGCCAUUGACAUGUCGUACCUCCCCAAUUGUGCUAAUUGUACCAUCAAAUAUUUUUAUUUUGAUAGUACCAAUACCAGCGAUCUCCAAGGCAUGAUCAUUACCCAUAUAUACAGAUCCUCCUGAGAUAUGUUCAUAUGUGUGGAACCAUUUUCUCCUAGAGGUCAUGUACCAGGUAGCUCCUGAGUCUAUAAGCCAGACAUCAGAUAGUCGUUUUCUGCCUUCUGAAACAAUUGUUGCCUCGCUGUAAAGAAUUUCGCCAUCAUCCGAGGUACUUGCUACACACCCCUGAGCAUUUGAUGACUCAGGUUCUUUGUCGUAUUUUCUCUUCUGGUUACUCCAACACUCUUUCUUGACGUGCUCUUUCUUGCCACAGUUGUAACAUUUAACAUUCUUCUUACUUCUGGAUUUUGAUCUACCGUGAUUUUGACUCCCACUGGGGCCACAUUUCUUUGAUCUCCCUCUCGUCACCGAUAGCACCUCCGCUUGUUGCGAACUUGCUUGUCUAUUUUUCUUAUUUUUCCGUCUGCUCUCCUCAUUUAUUACGGAGGCUGCAACAUCGUCGAAAACUAGAUUGGCUGCUGGAUUGUUGUUUGUUAGGUUGAUGAUGAGUUGAUCAUACAAAUCUAGUAGACUUUGAAGUAGAAGCUCUGCACGUUCAUUUUCCUCUAUAUUAUGACCCAACGUUGUAAGUUGUGAAAAUAGAGUCUUCAAGGUGUUGAUGUGGUCGGUCACCAUUGUAGAUUCCGCCAUUCGAAGAGUAUAGAGUUUCCUCUUCAAGAAGAUUUUGUUGUGUAGUAACUUGGCCUCGUACAAUUUUGUGAGAGUAUCCCAAAUUUCCUUCGCUGUAUUUUUCUCUGCCACACUGGAUAAUACUCCGUCUGCAAGUGCCAAGUGUAAAUCAGAAAUGGCGUUGCCAUCUAUCUCGUUCCACUUGUCAUCAGUUAUCUCCAUGGGCCUUUCUCCAAUUGCUGCCAAGCAAUUAUUUUUCCUCAAUACAGCUUUCAUCUUCAUUUUCCACAACGAAAAAUUAUUUCUGUUAAACUUCUCAAUUUCAUACUUUGCCGCCAUUUUGUUGAUAAAUACCGCACACAAGCUAGUGUACCACCUUGAAUAGUUGUGAGUAUGUGUGAGAAUGUACACCAGGAAAGUUCCCAGGAAAGACUGGAGGGGUCACAAUGGUCCCACUUAAAACCCAGACUCCUUAAGCUCUUAUUAUCUUUGUGACAGAAUUUUCCUAGACAUGUACAAAACCACACAGUUGCUUUAUUGACACCAUUAUUCCCUGCUUUGCACCGCAAAAUUCUUGGUCGCUCCCACCGUUUCACGUGAAUAGUACCGUAUACGUGAAUAGUAUCGUAUACGCGAACAAUACCGUAUACAUAAAUAGUACCCCUUACGUGAACAAUACCUCGACUCUAAAAAUACAACCAAUAGCUCUGAUACCACUGUUAAGAAAUUGGUGGGUGAAGCAGACACGCAGCUAAAAUGAAAUUGUAAGAAAAUAAAGAACAAGCACAAAAAAUAGACACCAGAAAUUACGUGGUUCGGCUUUUAGCCUACGUCCAUGGGCGAAGACAGAAGGAAAUAUUUUACUAGUGAAAAUGAGUUACAAGUAUUGUAGUAUUUUAGCUCACUUCCCAAAACCUCAAUACACCCAAACUCUCAUAACACUAAUCACUCAAGAGUUUAUUAAACUCUUAAUACUCUCAACUCUAAAGGAAGGCAAUGCUUCUCUCUCUCGAUGGAAUUGAAUGCAAAAUGAAAUGGGGAGCUCUGCCUUUUAUAGCCAAAAAAUGGCUAUUAAAUUAUUAUUAUCUUCUUCUUUCUUUCUUUUUUUCUUCAUCCUAAAUUUGCUGCUGCCAAAUUCUUCUUCUUUUUCUUUGGACGGCACUAAAACCUUCAACAUUUUCUUUGGCCGGCUGUCAAAGCCAACUUUGCUUAGUCAAGGCUUCUAGAUGCUGCAGCUAACUAUGGCCAAUGGGCCGUGCCGGCAACCAACUAUCGGCCCACAAGGGCUCGUGGGCCGGCACGGCACGACCCACUAAAUUGGUGGGCCGUGCCGUGCCGUGCCUAUAUUUUUUUCAAUUGAGCCCGGCACAGCCCAUGGCACGAGCCCGCUCGUGCCGUGCUCGUGCCAUGCCGUGGGCCAUGCCCAAAAAAAGCCCACCAAUUUUUAUUUUUUUUUAGCGUGCUUAAAAAAGUCCACGUGCCUAGCGUGCUUUAUUCAAGCCCACGUGCCUGACAUGCUUUUUUAAGCCCACCAACAUAAUAAUAAUAAUAAUAUUCACAAUCAUAAUCAUAUUAAUUUUUAUUAAGAGAGCAAUUAACAUUUUAUUAUUAGUUUAUCACAAUUUCACAACUAUAUAUUUUAUUUCACAAUAAUCAAUCAUAAUUCAUAACACAACAAUACAUAAAUUUAAUUAAAUUUAAUUCCAUAGAUCAUAAUAAUAAUUAAUUAAAAUUAAAAAUACAAUCCUCGAAUAAUCAUUACAAUAAGUCAUAACUACGAAAUAUUAAUAUAACAAAUCAUUUAUUUAAACUAAGAUUUAAUGAUUUAAAUUAAUUUUUAAAAGUCUAUGCUAAAAAAUAUAUUAAAACAUUUAAUUUCAUAACAUUUAAUAUUUACUUUUUGUUAAAAAAAUUUACUUAGAUAUAUUUUGACCCACGUGCUAUUAAUGGCUCACGGGCCGCGUGCUUUUUCGCGUGCCGUGCUUUGGCCCAUCUCUAAUCGUGCCGUGCUUUAAGGCCCGCGUGCCUAAAAUUCUAGGCCCGGCACGGCCCACGUGCGUGCCGUGCCGUGCCUCGUGCCUCACCGAAACGUGCUCGUGCCGUGCCGUGCCGUGCCCGUGCCGUGCCACGUGCCGCCCGACCCAUUGCCCACUUUUAGCUGCAGCCAAUUUUGACACAAUUGACAUUGUGUUUUCCUUCAAUUUACUCAACUCAUUGGAAAGAAACGAGUUGAAGAAUUUAUGAAAAUGGGUGAGAAAGAAAUUCACGUCUUUGGCAACAGACUAACAGUUAGAGAGUCAUGUUCUGUAGAUAUCGAUGUUUCUGGACCUGAUUGGUUUGUCGUUGGACUUAAUGGAGAGGCAAGAUUAGGCUUUUUUUUUUUUUCUUUUCAUAGCAAUUUUCGUAGCUUCUUUAACCAUUUUUAGUUCUAUUAAUGCUUUACCAAGUCAAUGAUGCACGUGUUUUUUUCAUAACGUGUUAAAGUCACAAAUCAUCUGCUUCAAGAGAAAACAGACUAGGAUCAGAAAGGAACCAAAAGUCUUCCAUCUUAUUUUCUGUGUUCACGUUAAUUAGAAGCUGGAGUCGGCACGUUUUGCUAGAGAUAUCCUUCUACAAUCUCAAUUGAUAUAAUAUCAUUUCAACUUUAAUGGCUGCCCGAGGUUUACCGACCGGCUAGCUCAUUUUUUUUUUCAUAAAAAUUUGUUACCUUCGUUUGUUAUAUAAUAAGGGGGAUACUGGAAUAAAAGAGAAUGGAAAAUGCUAAGUAUCAAGAAGAAUGAGAGAAAGCUGAGAGAAUGAAGCAUGUGCUAAGAGAAGAGAGAGAGAGAAAAAGUUAACAGAAGAGAGAGAGAUGAAGCAAAACGGCAACCUGAAUUGUAGUUUCUCUCAGCUUUCUCUCGUUCUUCUAGCCAUCUAGCAGCACUCAAAGAGAAUAAUUCUUUGCAUAAUUAAAGCGUCAAAAAGAAUUAUUCUCUUUGAGUGUUGCUAUAUGACUAGAAGAACGAGAGAAAGCUGAGAGAAACUAAAAUCCAGGUUGUCGUUUUGCUUCAUCUCUCUCUCUUCUGUCAGCUUUUUCUCUCUCUCUCUUCUCUCAGCACAUGCUUCAUUCUCUCAACUUUCUCUCAUUCUUCUUGAUACUUAGCAUUUUCCUUAUGUAAUUGAUCCCCUGUCAUUGGGAUUGUACCAUUAUAUAUUAUUUGGUGUUUGUUUUUUAUUUAAAAUCUGAAUAAGUUUAAAGUAGUAUGAAUUUUAAAUAAAUUUAAAUGCAUGAAUUUGAAUAACGUAUUUAUUUAUUUUUUGUCACAAACUUUGAGAAUAAAUAUUAAGUUAUUUUUAACUUAAAAAAUCUAAAAAUCAAAACCUUUACAUUUGUGUCCUUACAAUUUUAAAUGUUAAAUAUAUAAUGAACAUCUCAAAAAAUAUAAGUAAGAUAGUAUUUUAUCAUAACAUAAAUGGUGCUCAAUGAAUGCAACCUAUUAAUAUUCUAAAUUAGAAUUAUAUUAAUAAAAUUUUGUGAAGAUAAAUAAUUCUAGUUUGAAGAAAAUAAAAAGAUAAAAAUAAUGAUAAUUUUCUACUAUAUUAGUAAGCUUUAUUUAGGUAAGGAGGAAAAUAAAUUAAUUAGAUAAAGGUAUUGCAGAGAAUAUUUUUCAAUGAUGUGAUUCAAAAUUUUCAGAUUAAGUAAAAAGCUAAACAAAAUAAUUAGCUUAAAAACUUAAUGACUUAUCAAUCACUAAAUUUUUUUAUUAAAUUGAAAAAAUUAAUAGAAUUAUGGUCCAUUUAGGAUUUAUUUCGGGAGGUGCUUUUGAAAAGUUUAAAAGCUAAUUUUGAUGUUUGACAAUUUUUUUUAAAAAAUCACUUUUAGUAAAAUUACCCUAUCAUACAACAAAUUUUUAAAAGUAGAGGAAGGGUAGUUUUUUAAAAUCUGAUUUCGAGAAUCACUUUUAUACUUAAUACAAUUUCAUAUAUAUUUUGAUAUAUAGGAAAAAAUCCAAAACCAUCCUUAUAAAUUAGAAAAUAAAAUUAUUAAUUUUAAAGAGAUUAUUAUUAUUACCAAUUCUAUUGAGAUAACAAAAUAAAAAAUAAAAUUAAAAAUAUAAAAUAUAUAUUUUAGUUAUCAAUUAUUAUUUAUACACAACUAAAAAUAUUUUAUUUACAUGUUUAUAAAUGUGUAAAUAAUUUUUAUUCAACAAUAUGUUUAAUUUAAUUAUUUACAUUGUUAAAAUAUUUUAACAGUAAGAUCUACUAAACAUUUAAUUGAUUCUCUACACAACUGAUUAUUUCUACAGUAUAGCUAACAAUAAUUAUUUUAAAAUUUAUAACAUUAUCAAACUGACCCUUAGUGAUUUAAUUGACUAAAAUUAAGUCAAUUAAAUCAUUAAGUUAGGAAAACAAACUGCCCUUUAGUAAAUUUCUUAAUGCAAAUAUUAUUAAACUAUAAUGCAAUUAAAAAUAAUAAUCUCUUCCUCUAUUCACUUUUUUAAUUACAAUUAGUUUCAGUAGCUAUUUUGAAUGACAAACUGAAUUGAUCGCGAUAUAAUAAUCUCUUCUUUCAAUCAUAUGAGCAUGUUUGAGCCACUGAGGUAGCUGUGGGAAUUUGUUUUCGUUGAUUUCUGCACUGGGCUUUUUAGGAUUAUUUGUAAAGGCAUUAAUUAAGUAUUUUUAAUGGGUUUAUAUGUAAAUUAGAUUGUAUGUGAUAUUAAAGGUUUGUCAACCAAUCUGGCAACCAUUAAUUAAGUUAAAAUCCAUUCGUGUCAGUAUUUAAGAUACGUGUCACAUUCUGGCAACAAUCUUAAUAUGUGUUUCCAUUCGAACUUUCCACUGGCUGCUUGACCCAUCUAAGUUAUGAAAAAGUUUCUGAGAAAAUGAAAAAAUAAUCCAUGGCCGUGGAAAUAAUCGAACGCCGCCAGCUGUAUUGUAUGAUUCUAUGAGCGAUUUAUCAUUUCUUUUUUCUUUUUAUUUCGACAAUUUAUUACUGACUACUGUAUUGCAGGCUUGUAGCCAUUAAGUGUUUGGAUAAUUUAUCCCAUUAUUUUCAAAUAUAAUCCAGAUAUAAUUCUAGAUUAUGCUGGUAGAAACAUCGUCUCAAAGAUUCUAUUGGGUCAUCAAUAGCUGUAUAUAUCUUGAAGGGGACUAAUUUUUCUAGGAUAUGCUGGUGGAAAAUUUUGCCCCACGUAACUACUAUGAAUGAGUCUUUGUUGCUUAAUUAAGACUCUAAUCUCUCUUUCUAGACUGCAAGGUAAGUUUAAGCUAGAAACAUUAUAUCAAGGUGUACACAUUUUCAUCAAAUAUAAUUGUAGACUUUCUGGUCACACAUUUUACCAUUUAGUCCAUAAUUUUUCAAAAUACCUAUUACGUUUCUAAUAUUAUACUUUUAUGUUUGAAUUAGUCUGUUGAGCUAUACAUGUGACUUUUUAACAUAGAAUACCCUACAUACCUUUUAGUAGGGGAUUUAAAAAAAAGAGCGCAUUAUAUUAAACUAAGGUAGCAUUUGUUUUUUUUUUUUUUUUGUCUGAAAUCUAAAUGAAUCUGAAUUUUUCUAAAGUCUGAAAGGGUCUGAUAAUGAAAAUUUCAAUAAUAUGUUUAUUUUUCUUUUUUAAAUAUCUGAAUAUAAGUGACAUUUUGUUUGUUUUUAAAAUAAAAACAUCUUAAACUUGGUUAUUUGACAUUUAUGUCCUUGUAAAUUCAAAAAAAAAAAAGAGAAUUAGAUUUUAUAGUUUAGGAAAUAAGUUAUUUUACAGAGAUAUUUUUAGAAUAUAAUAUUUACUUGUCUUUCAGACCUUUUUUCAUACAGAUAAAAGUCACAAAGUUUAUUUUUUCUAUUUAUAUGUAAAUGUCUGAAAAUCAGACAUAAGUUCCAAAAAAACAAACAAGUAUAUUUUAGAAAAGGUCUGAAAUUAAUAAAAUUUCAAACUUCAGACAUUUAACAAACAAUCUCUAAGUGUAUGUUUAAUAUGAUUUAUCUAAUGGUCAUAAGUGCUUAUCUAAUCCCAUAAAUUCCUUUUAAAAUUAUUAUUAUUGUUUGAUUGCAUUUUAAGUAAAGUUUUUAAGGAUUAAAUAAAUUUUUUUGUCUCUACUAACAAAAACUUAAAUUUUAAAAUUUUGAGAGUAUAGAUUAGAGAGACCUUUUAAAAAGUUAAAUCGUCCAAAAUGUUCCAUUAUUUAUUUCACAAUAUUAUGACAUUUCUCUCUCUCUCUCUCUCUCUCUAUAUAUAUAUAUAUAUCUUAAUUUUAAAAAUUUAUCUAUUAAAAUAAUUUUAUAUAAUUUUUAACAAAGAUCUCAUCGACAACCAAACAACUAAAAUUUCUUUAAUAAAAGCUUCACUUAUAAAAAUUUUACUAACAAAAACUUUAUUUGAAUAAAUUUUAUCAGAAAAAUUAUACCAAACGAAGCUAACAAUAAGAUUAUAAUAGUAAAAGAAUUCAAUAAUUGCACUCUUAAUGUUACCAUUUAAAAAUUAUUAAGUUAAGAAUGAAAUAGGUAAUUUGGGAAACCCAUCUGGAGGGAUUUGCUUAACAUCCUUUAAAAUUUUUUCCCAGCUGGAAGUAAUUGCUGAACAUCCUUUUCAAUUCCCGAGUAUUAUCUAAUCAGCUUAUUUUGUCAUUUUUAGGUGUUUGCGAAGGCUUUUGGCAAGGAUACUGGGUUGGCUUACGUGUAGUGGACUGAUCAUGUUGACUUUGUUCGGUAGCACAUUUUAUUUUACGCGUGUCUAGUUGUAACCAUGUCUCUCACUGUAUACACCAGUGUGAGUGGGUCCGCCUACUAUUUUAUGACAAUUUAUGUUAUACUGACAAUAUUUUUCGUGCCGAUCACAAGUUUGAAGUUUUGCUUCUCUCGAAGAACUGGCUCCUUUCAUUUAUUUAUUUAUUAAAAUUUACAUUUUUUUUCCGUUUCCUUGCAAGAAAGGUAAUUAGAUUAAGUUUAACGGGGCGAUGAUGUUUUCCAUUAAAUAAGUAAAACACAAUUUUAUGCCAGAGUAGAAAUGGCCAAUCAAAACAAGGGUUAUCCAUGUUCGUGCCAUGCCGUCGUGUGCUUAAUUUUUUUUUCUCGUACCUUGCCCAUAUAUGUUGUGUUGUGUCUAAAAAAAAGUUCAAUAAUUUUUUUUAGUUUUUUAAAAGCACGUACUAAGUAAUUGGUAUAUUUUUUUUAAGUUUAUGUUUUUUUUAGGUCUAUACCUUUAUUCAAAUUUAAUAGAAUUGAAAAUUUAAAAGUCAAGUCUAUAUUUUAUAAUAAUAAACUAAUAAUAGUAAGAGAAUGUAAUAUUAAUUUUUAAGUUUGACAUUUUAACAUUAUUUUUUUUAUACUUAACAACAACAACAAUAGUAAAUUUUUCUUAAGGGUUAACUUAAUUGUUAACUUAGACUUACAUAGAGUCAUAGAUCAUAAUUCACAAUAAUAUUAAUGGAUAUUUAUAAAAUCAUAAUAAUUAUAAUUUUAUUUAUUAAAAUCAUGAUAUCAAUUAUAUAUUUAAUAAAUUAUAAAUAUAAAUCAAUUAUAGUACUUUUUAAACUAAGAAUUAAAUGAAUUUAAAAAAUUCAUUUUCAAGUUAUUUGUAAAACUAUAAAAUUUUAAGUUUACUUUCAUUAAAAAAUAAAAUGUGCUUAUUGUGAACUUUUUUAUCGUGCUAUACUUAGUCCAUUUCUAAUCAUGUAGUGCUUUUAAUGCCACGUGCUUAAAAUUUUAAGUCUGGCCCAGUCCACGUGCGUACUGUGCCAUACCACAUACCCUACCAAAACGUGCUGGUAUUGUGCCGUACUGUACGAAUACAUGUCGUGCCAUGUGUCAUCUAGUCCAUUGGCCAUCUCUACGCCAGAGUGACAAUAUGCCACAUUGAGAAGAAUUGUGUGCCCCUAAAGCUGGAUUAAUAAUUUAAUUUGAAUUGACAUAUAUAACAGUUGUAGGCUAACCAAUAUUUCCACAGAAAAAAGUAGUUCAAAAUUAUUGGUCGCAUCUUGUCAUAAAUUUUUUAACUCUGCGCAGUUGGUGUAAUAGUUUCGGCUGCUAUUCUCUUUACUACUAGAGCCUAGAGAUGGAGUGAAGCAUAUUGGGAAUUAGGAAAAGAGCGUUGCUUCCUUACAAUUAGGCAGGCGCUAAGUUACGGUUAACGUAACUUACGCCCACACACAGCAACAGUACCACUGGUGGGGCCUGGUACUGUUGCUACGUAAGUUACGUUAUGCCGAGUAGUGUUGUGCCCUAGAAUCUGUUCUACAUUUGCAGUUGUGACUGUUGAGCCAACUUGAUUUGCAAUGCUUUUAGGUAUAUUGUGCCCUGAAAAUUAAUCAAAACUACUUGUGAAAAGGCGAUUUGAACUCAAAAUUUUGCUUUCUACACCCAUUUUCUCAACACACCCACAAAAUAAAUUUGAAAAAUAAAAUUAUACUCUAUGAAUCCUUCAAAAAUCCAAAAAUAACCCUAUAUUAUCUUCGUUCACUUUUUUCUUCCCUCUCCCUUCUUAUACAGUAUUGAAUGGUGACAACAACUUUGAUUCACCUUGCUAAUAUUAAAAACUAUCCUAAUUGACAAAUCCAUGAAGAAAUAAACUUUGAUGAUGUGCACCAAUAAAUUGAAAUUUUUGAGCCAACAACAAACUACUGAAUAUAUUACGGAUGGGUUUACAUUGAAAUUGUCCAUUUCUUUUUCAUCCAUUGCCUUUCACGAAAAUCUUUAUAAUUUCAUAUUCUAACUGCAAGAUGCAAAAAAUUCUUCAUGUUUUUUCAUCUAUCGCCAUAAUUGCCAUAGAGUUCAUUAGCUUAAUUAACUAUUAGUUAUACAUAUCAAGGAGUCUAUUUUUCCUUUAACUCUUGAAUCAUCAAAUUCAAAUAUUUCUAUUGUUCGAUUUUUCUAUCUGAUUGUGUAUUUUCAUGAGAUGCAGAAAAUUAUUUUUAGCUUAUGCAGAAUUUUCAUUUUCUCAGUAACUAAGUUUUUUUUUUUUUUUUGGUCUGUCCUUAAUGGUAAUUGUCAUAAAGGGUAAUUUGACAAUACAAGUUAUUGUGAAAUUAUAGGUGUAAAGAGUUGUUUUGUGGGUUUAAAUAGUCCUACCCUUUGCGGAAUUAUUUAUUAAACAUCUAAAUUAAUAGUAUGUAUGAAAUAAAUGGCAUCCCACACAAAUAUAAAUAAUAAUUUUACUUGAAUUAAAUACCCAAAUCCUAUAUUAUAAUAUUAUGCGUAAGAAAAUUUACACAUACUAUCAUUUUAUUAAAAUUUGGACUAGCUGAAGAAUAUUAUUCAUUCAGAUUUAUCAACCAUAAGUCACUUUGUUAAACCAUGAUUAUUGUAGAAUGAAAAAUCAUUCUUGUCAAGUAUAAAUGGACGAACUGUUUAUUGUCAACCUUUAUAUAGUUGUAUAAAUAAUUAAUCUUUGUAUAACUUAAAAUUAUUGUUUAUGCUAUCAGUCGUAAUGAAUUGGAAGUAGAUGAUUUUAAUUUGCAAAUGGUUUGGCUUCCAUCUCUGUAACUAUUUUAGUAUUUUUUUUUAAAAAAAGCUCAUUAAACAAAUAAAGUUGACUAAAGUAUUCUCUAAAUGCCGACUGCUUUAGUUAACAAGGCUCAAAAACUUUUAAGAAGAAUUGGGCCUGAAAUGAUAAUGCAUGGUGGAUAGAUUCUAAUGCAACCAAGCAUGUGUGCAAAGAUCAUAGCCUUUUCACAUCUUACAAAGUAAUGGAUGAUAGGAAUGUUCUUUAUGUGGGAAAUUCCUUCAUGCAGCAAUUAAAAGAAAAGGCAAUGUACAACUAGAGUAUAUUUAUGGAAAAAUCUUAACUCUUACUGAUGUUUAUCAUAUACCUAAAGUUAAGAAGAAUCUUGCAUUUGGUUGCCUCAAUAAAUUUGGCUUCAAACCUGUAUUUGAGUAAAAAAUAAUUUAUAUUGUCUAAGGAUGCAUGUAUGAGGGAAAGUUUAAACUCAUUAAUAAAAUGAAUGUUUCUUCUACUUACAUGAUUGACUCAUUAUUUUUGUGGCAUAAUUAUUUAGGACAGGUGAAUAUUAGAAGAUUGCAUGAUAUAGCUAAUUUAGAAUUAAUUCCUAAAUAUGAAAAUGAUAUGCAUGAAAAAUGUAAAGUGUGUGCGUAGACUAAAAUCACAAGAACUCCUUUUCCAACAAUUGAAAAAAUAUAUUCUUUGAUGCAUUUAAUUCAUAGUGAUAUAUGUGAUAUGCAUAGUAAUCCUACUAAAGGUGGUAAAAAAUAUUUUGUAAUGUUUAUUGAUGAUUUUUCAAAAAUAUUGCUAUGUAUAUUUAUUACCUUCUAAAGAUCAAGUGUUAGCCAAAUCCAAAAUUUAUAAAAAUCAAGUUGAGAAUUUUUAUGACAUUAAAAUUAAAUGCAUCAGAAGUGAUAAAGGAGAUGAAUAUGCAUUUUUUGAAUUUUGUGAAUCUACUGGCAUUGUGCAUGAAACUAGUAUUGGAUAUACGCGACAACAAAAUGGCAUAUCUAAAAGGAAGAAUAGGAUGCUAAUAGAAAUGGUUAAUGUUACGAUUUUUAAUGUUGGGCUUGGUAAAGAUUUUUGCGAUGAAGCUCUUUUAACUAAAUGUCAUAUCUUGAAUGGUGUGCCUAAUAAGAAAACAAAAGCGAUCCCUUAUGAAUUAUGAAAAAAUAGAAAGCCUAAUCUUUCACUACUACAAAAUUAGUCAAUAAUGACGGUUCUAAGCGACAUAAAAUGACGGUUUUAAAACCGUCAUCUUAGGCAGCAACAUUAAAAAGAGUAUACUUUUUAUGACAGUUCAAUAACCGUCAUUAAAUGUAUAUUUUUAAUGACAGUUAUUUUCUAAAUAGUCAUUAUUUAUAGUAACUAUGUAUGUUUUCAUGAUGGUUAUUUCGUAUAACCGUCAUUAAAUAUAUACAUUUAAUGACGGUUAUAUGAAAUAACCAUUAUUAAAUAUACUUUUUCAUUAAUUUUUUAUGAUGGUUCUUUUUAAAAAAAAACCAUCAUUAAAUCCAUCAUUUUAAUGACAGUUUAUUGUAAAAACAUCAUUAAAUAUUAAAAUAACAUUUAAUUACGGUUUUAAAAAAGAACUGUCAUCUUUGUUGUUGAAGACUACAUUUAACGACGGUUCUUUUCAAAUAACCGUUAUCAUUGUUGUUAAUUAUUAAAAAAAAUAAAUAUGACAAUUUCAUAACCAUUUGAAGCCCCUAUUUUAAUUCUAAUUUCCUGUCAAAUUAUUUACAAUUUUUUUCCACAAAUGUUUCAUAUACAAAAAGAGAGCUCUACAAAAAUCUCUAAUAGUCAUUGAACUUCAACAAAAUAUCAAUUAGCUUUAACAUCAAAAUUCUCACAGCUCUUUAAUACCUACUAAUGAAUCUACUCACAACCAACAAAAUUGGCAUGUGUGAGUACAUCUAAUUUCUCAUCAAGUUUUCAAUUGCAAACGAAUCUCACCACCUUUAGCAAUCUACAUCAUUCUUACAAAGAAUAAAUAAAAAUUAAGAUAAAUUCAUAGAUUAUAAGUCAUAAUAAUUAAAUCAUUUUUAGUAACUUAAGUUGUAAACAAAACUUUAAAGUACCAAAUCAUUAUUAAUUAAUAGACUUACAUUAAAUUUAUCAACCAUGUGUUUAAGUAGUAACAAGUUGCUAUGUAUACAUGUAGGCCACUCCCAUUUAACUUUAUCAAUCUCUCCUUGAGUGUAAAUUUCAGUUCUGUAAAAAUAAAAAUUAAGAAGCAUAUUACUCUAGUUCCAAACUACAAAAAUAAGUAUUUGAUAAUAAACGACAAUACAUUUUUCAAAAUAGAGAAAAUCACAAAGCUUUUAAGCUUCUAAAUCACAAAUUAUAGGUAAAGCAAUUUAGAAUUGAAAUAUACUAUAGCAAUGAUGACUUACAUCCGCUAUUUGCAUAGACUAUCACUCAAAUCUAGCGAUUCGAUAUUCUCAAUUGAUGAAAAUAUGCAACAUGUCUAAAAUAAAUCUUGCAUGCUAACACAAUAAUAAAUUUUGAAAAAAGAAUUUGUACCUUUGCCCCUGGUCAAUUUGAAAAUGAUCUCAAAAAUUUUGAUGGCCAUGAGAAAAUUAACUAACGACCAACAAUUUAUUAUUGAUGUUGUCGGAGGAUUACCAAAUUGAGAAGGAAGUGCUAAAUUCUUGAAUGGCGUUGAGAACUUAAAAAAUCUGAAAUGGAACAUUUAAAAUAGAAAGUAAAUAUAAUUAUCAAUACUCAAAGAUAGUCCACACUUUAUUGCUUAAAAACUUGAGUGGAAAACCCAGCAAAAAAGAAAAGCAAAACAGUGUAAUUUCACUGGUAUUUUUGCUGCUGUCAUGCAGAAAAAACAUAGUAGUCUUACUGCAAAGUUUUUGCAGCUGUUUUGACUGUAUAACAGCGGGCAAAAACAGUAAAAGAAACUACAAUUUGGCUGCUGUUUUUACUGUUGUCAUGCAGUAAAAUAGAGCAGUCUUGCUGCAAAGAUUUUGCAGCUGUUUGGACUGUACAACAACAGCAAAAACAACAAAAAAAACUAUAUUUUGGCUGCUGUUUUUACCGCUGUCAUGCGGUAAAGCAGAGCUGCUGUUUUUACCGCUGUCAUGCGGUAAAGCAGAGCUGCUGUUUUGACUGUAUAACAGCAGGAAAAACAGAAAAAAAAACUGUAAUUUGGCUGCAGCAAAAACAACAGAAAAACUAUAGUUUGGCUGCUGUUUUUACAUUUAUCAUGCAGUGAAAAUACAGCAGUCUCACUGCAAAAAUUUUGCUGCUGUUCUUACUGUAUAAAAAUAGUAAUACAUCACCUUAAAUAAGAGAAAAAAAUUCUUUCAGCUACUACACAUUUAAUUUAAUUCAACUUAAAUCCUUCAUAUUGUAGAGAGUGAGAGAUUGAUUCUAUAGAAUAAAGAGAAAUUAAGAUAAUUCAUAUAUUAUAAGCCAGUAUCUUCACCAUGACUGGCAACUUCCACAAGCAAUUCAUUUGCUCUUUUCCAUGAGGACUCAUCAGAACUGAAUAAGCAAACAACACCAUUAUAAAAGAAUGAAUAUAUGUCUGAUUUGAAAUGAGCAAAACCUAGGUUAUGAGCAGCACAGAAAUGCAAAAAGAAAAAGGGAAUGUCUUUCUCUGUAAAUACAUGUAGAUAGAUGUUUGCAGAUGCAUGCAAGGGAAAAAAGAAUGUCUUUCUACAUUCUCAAGGCUCCAAUUGAAGCACUAACAGGUACAUUUAUGCAAAAAUAUAAGAAGAAAAAUAAUGUAUGAUACCUGUAGUCCCUGAGGAGUAAGCAAAUGUAUUUCGAUACGUGUACAUUUCCUGAAAGAAGAUUGAACUAUAAAUAGACUGCCAAUGGAUCAAAAUGCACUUUCAACACAAAAUCCAAUUAAAUUUGAAGAUGGCACAAAACAAUUAGUUGAAAAUUGUACUCGUGACACCGGAAUGAAUCGCAUAACAAUUCUUUCACAGAGCUUUCGGCAACCAUAUAGCUCAAAAAUCAGAUAGCAGCAUACACUAAAUGGGAACAAUUUUUUUCUCAAUUACAUUAGUAUAAGUCCAAUGCAGGGAAAAAAAUGCACUUUCAAAAUGAAUUACAACUUAAUAACAACAACAAUCAACUAAAAUGUAAGCAAGAAUCAUAGACAAACAAUUUAUAAACCAAAUGAGAUGAAAAUUUCUUUAUUAAAUUAAUAGAAGGUCAGUUGACAGGAAAUAAAGAGAACAAACAAUAAUUGGAUGAAUCAAAACCCUAGAGCAAGAAAAUACAAUAAGAAGGAAGCAUCUGAAACAAGAAAAUGAAAUCAACAGCUCACUGUCUCCCGCGGCGGGCGCGAUGGCUACGGUUGAACGAGCUACAAUGACAACUGCUGUCGAUGAGGUGGCUGAAUCACGAUCAUUGCCGCGAACUAACUAGGACUCUGAAUCACGACCACGAUCUGCCCUACGAGCUAAUCAAAAAAAUUGAAUCGAUUGGCAGCGGUGGAUGGUGCGUGACUGAUGGGCUGACGAUAGUGAAAUUGACAGAGUGAGACGAUGAGACUGGAGAGGGAGAUGGUGAGACCGUGAGAGAGAGAGAGAGAGAGACCAACGAUGCAGAGAGUGAAAGUGAGCAUGAAAGAGAGAGAGACCGGAGAUGGAGAGAAUGAGAGUGAGCGUAAGAGACAGAGAGACCGAAGAUGGAGAGGAGAGUGAGCGGGUGAGAGAGAGGGGGGCGUGGCUGCUGCUGUGCUUGUAGAAUUAGAAAUUAGGUCAUGAUUUUUUUU
rnacentral:lncRNA from 1 species